GACAAUUCUAGCAUGUUACAAUAUCAUAAUAUACAUCUACGGAAUGUAAUUCUGCUGUCAAAAAUAUAUAUGUAAUUUUGCACUGAGUGCGAAUAUAUUAUAUUUUUUUUUAAAAAAAAAAUUGUUAUCGUAAAUGAAUAACUAUUAUACACAAAUGUAAUAACUAGAUUUACUAACUGAAAUAUAUUUAUAACUAUUUAUGCUAUAAAUGUUAUAUAUUGUAAUUGUUGUAGAUACAUCAUUUUGUUAAUAUAGUUAUUUAAAAAAAAAAAAACAAAAUUCACGCACCACAUUAACAUAAAUUGUCUCUAUCCUAAGUUUUUUCCUUUAGAUAUGUAAGAGGAAGUUUGUUUUUUUGUAUCAAACACAUGUAUAAUGGUCUACUUGUCUUAAUCACUUUAUAUUUCCCAACUAAGCAAAGAAUAUCUUAGAACCUUGCUCUUCAUUCUUGAUUUUGAGGAUCUAAAAAGAUGAAAAAUAGUAACUUACUAAAGAAGUUUUUAUUGACUCUGCCAUAUAUAAGCUUUUCCUGAUAGUGGUAGAGUUGUUGUUUUGAUCCGUGAUUGGCUUAUUGCUAUGAAUAUGAAUUCAAACUUGUGAAUAUAUUAUAAAUAAAAUUAAAAGAUGUAAAAGAAAAUAAAGAAAAAAAGUUGGAAAACAAAGCACUUUUCUCUCUUUUGCUUUAGGGAAAGAGUUAAACAGCUUGCAAUGUCCACUUUAAGUUUUGUGUUUUUAUUUCAUUAAAGUUAUAUAAUAUAUACAAAAUAUUUCACAACAAUAUAAUUUUCUAAGCAUGUUUUCAUCAGUGCGUAAAUGUUUUUGUAAAGUGAGACUGCUGCAUUCACAUUUUUUACUAUAUAAGAUUUUGUACCCAUAUAUAAAACGUAACCCUCUUUGGUCUAUUUUGAAGUCAUUACAUAAUUUACAUUACAUUUACAUGCAAUUUAUUAAAACGCUAACAAGAUUCAAGCCGUACGAAAAUGGUAGGUACUAAUCAAAGGACGACGAUAUACGGAGAUCUGAAUAUCGCACAUACAUGUGAUAUGUCCUAAUUAAUUAUAUGAUUAUAAUCAUAUAAUGAGACAACAAAACAGAUAUAAAAGCGAAGUUAUAAUAAUCAUAUAAUAAUUUUAUUAAUUUUUUCAUAUGAUUUAUGAUGAUUGUCACGUAACAAAAAGAAAGAAAAAAAAAAUGAAAAAUUAUUGUAAUGUCUUCAAACUAACGUACAUCAUUAUUAUUGAAUUCAUCUGUUUUUCUUUAAGUUUUAGAUUUUAUAAUUAAUAUACUAGUAAAUAAAGAUAUUUCACUCAUCAUAGUUUAAUACAAAAUUUACUUGUCAAUUUUACUGUAAAGUGUUAGUUAUGUGGGCAAUUCUAAUUUACUACUUUUCAGUAAAUUAAAAAGGUAGCUAGAGAUAUCUCUUGUUUUAAGCUGAAGUAUUUAUUCAUUGGAUAGACUGGUGGAAAAAGUAUAAACUGGAAAAUAAAGUAAUUAACAUAAUUAAUUGCAACAAUUGUGGUUUAGUUGUGAAAAUUAAUUUAGCUUAAGUCACAAAAUACUACAUUUACAUUUCCAAAUAACAUCUAUAUAGAUUUUCACUUACAAAACCCAUGAUAUGUGUUUUUAUUUAUUUAUUAUUAUUCAUGAUGAUAUCCAAUUGUAUUAAGAAACGUGAAAAUAACCCCCCAAAAAUAUUAGUUUGUUACAUCUUUGGAUUUUCUUUUUUUUUUUUUUUGUUAAACACGUACAUCUUUGGAAUUUAAUCAGCAAAGACCACAGAAAAGAGUAAAAAAAAAAAAAUUAAGGAAGAAGAGAAAUAUGAGGGAAACACACUGUUCAGAUUAAAAUAUUUAGCUGCUGAACUCAAUCAUCUUCUUCUGCUGAUUCAAGUUCUUAUAAAACUUCUUUAUAAAAUCAUCAGCCGCUUUGUCCACGUGUCUCUUGCCCACGUCAUCAUUCUCCGGCGUUAACGGGAACGGUGAGUCAGUUACUCUUAACGGUCUCACCAACGGGGUCCGUCCAAACCCGGGGAAGUAAGGGGACAAAGCCACAGUUAAAUCUCCCGGAGUUAGGUUUCCUUUGUCUCCAACGCCGUUAAGAAGCUCAAGAACGGCUCUAGCGGCUGCUGAGUCGUCGUCGAGAGUCUGAGGCGUUUGACCACACGUGAAGAGACCAUUGUGACUCUUUUUCUUCAUGAAAGCCAUGUUGGGGAAAGGGAAUGAAUAGUUUGGUGUGUUGCUGCAGCUGAACUCGUACUCUUGUCGGGAUAUCGCGGUGGCUGAUGAGGCAGCGUUUAAAGCGUCUGAGGAGGUGGAAGCAGCGGCAGGGACGCGACGACGGUGGUGGAACAUGAGGUUCUUGCCACGUUUUAGAGUGGCGUUGAAGUCGGCGAUGAGUUUGUGUUUUGAUACACCUUUGCGAAUCAUGUACAAGAGAAAACGUACGAUGUUCCAUAGCUUCUUGCUUAUUGGUACGUUUUGAUCCAUAUCGAUCUUUUAGAAAGACAAGAAGAAAAGAGAUUUGUAUUAUUGUUUUUUUUUUUUGUUUUGGAGUUUGAUUACUUAUGAGCUAAGGAGAAGAAAUGUGAAGGGUUUAUAAAGGAAGAAAGAGAGAGAGAAAUGUACUAAAACGUGCAAGAUUAUAAAAAAAGAUUUUAAAGACAAAGCAAAAGCUUAUGUACAUUUACUUACUAUUGGUGCAUAAUUAUUGCAUCCAUAUCACUUUUAAAUAAAACAAAUUUAGUGAAUAUAGACCCUAUUUUAUAUUUUAGGUUCUAUGUGUCUUUUCUUUGUUUUUAUUUUAUUUUUAAGUAUGUGUGAAUUAUUGUAGCCUCCGACCAAAACUUGAUACAUACGAUCAAGAUUCUACGGUAAAUAGUUUUCUUGUAAAGUUAUAUCGCUGGAAUUGAAUCUUUAGUCAAGAAUUGAAUCUUUAGUCUUUUGACAAUUGGAUAAAAAUGAUUCAGAUAUUUUUUACCAUUUAAUGUUACCACAAUGAACAACGUCCAUAAAUGUUUGUUUCGUUUGCAUGCAUGCAUCUAGCAAGUUAAUGGUAUAUAUAAGCCCAUAACUUAAAUAAAGAUAUGUAUGUUUGGUAUGUCUUGUUAGCUAUACGAAACUGAUAUUUUAAGACAAUUAGAUAUAAUCAAGUUAGAUAUUUAGGGAUUCAUGUGGCAUCAAAUCGACAUGCCUACUUUGUCAUACGAUCAUUAAAACAAAUAUCUAAUUGUAGCCACUUGAUAUAUAAUAUUAAUCAACCCGAAUAACAACAACAGAAAAGCAGAAACGCAGAAACAAAAAUACAAUUUAAGAUGGAAGAGAGCUAUAUAGCAAACUUUUUUACAUCAACCUUUUUGUACUUUAGAUUGCACUAUGCCACUAUGUGUGAUAAUCUAUAUACGGAUUUUAUAGGUCUUGCUUUAAGUGUUAAGUAAUUGCUGCAUACUUUUCUAAAUGUCGUUGUUAAGCAAAUUGAAUUCAAAUAAUUAUUUUUCUAUUUGGGACACAAUAUUCAUCCUAAACAACACUAAUAUUUUUGUUUCGUUUGAUAUGAAGCAAAAUAUCUUGGUAUUUUAUAAUUUAUAAUUCGUAGAAUUUUCAUUGAAAUGAAACCAAAUUUACGGUUUAGUUCGUAAACAAAUAGCCUAAAAUUAUUUGAAAAUAUUUUAAAUUAAAAUUACUAUUUUGAUACGACCCAAAUUUAUAUAUAUAUACACAUUUUAGGCUGAUAUUAUUAGAAGAAAAUUUCGACCUAAAAUUUUAGCAUUUUUCUGAACAUUCAAAUACUUUGAUCUAAAUCUGAGCCUUUUACCCAGUUUAUAGUGAUCCAUUGGUUAAGUACUCAAGUGAUACAUUCUAGGCUGAGCUUUUAAAUCAGAACUCUCAAAGAUUAUUAGACUAGAUUUUGGUUUGCCUCUAAGUUAUUUUUCAUAAAAAUUCUCAACCUUAUCCUACAAAUCCAAUUUGUCGCUGUGGAAACCUACACCAGAUAGAGAUAGACAUGGUUGAGUCAUGAGUGUAAUGAUUGCCAUAUAUUUAAGGAAAGGAGAAAAGGAUAAAAUGUGUGAUGGGACAAUUCUUUUGUAAAAGAUGUGUUGGAAUUCAUUCUUUGAAAGCUAAAAUGCAACAAUAAUAAUAACAAGAAAAGAAAAAGAUAGUUCAUAAGUUCAUCAUCAUCACUCAUAAUCAAACUACAAAGCAAACAGUUCUUAACAAAACACACUGUUUUAUGUGUUCACAGCAACAUCCAAGAACAACAACAUGACAGUUUUACAAUACAGCCAAAAAGGCAAAAGCUUAGUCUGAAAGAAAAGAGUGCAAAUACAGUAAAUCUCAAACAAAGGACCAGUUGAUGAACACAAAGCAGAUGCAAUGAGCAUUCUCUUCUUCAUUCAGUACUUUCCAAGCAACUGCUCUCUCAUACGAAACUGGUCUCCCCAUGCUUGAGAGGCAUAUCCCACCUUGAAGGCAGGCAAAACCCUGAAACAAAUAUCUCAGUUACACAACAAUAAAAUAAAAUAGAUAAGAAUGAAGAUCAGAGAAUGUUUCUGAAACCUGUUGCAUGAUCUGUGGGAACUCUGAGCAAAGAGUCUUUCUUCCAUUGUCAUCAAAUAUCUUCUCUAAAGAGAUGUCUUGAAGGGAUACUAAUGUAGUCUCCAGCAUGUCGAGUCCCGCCUGGUUUGCAAAUGUGAAGACGGGCAAGGCCUAACCAAUAUUCAAAUGCCAAAACAGAUUAGUGUGUACACUAGCCACUAGUCAAGUAGUCUUUUUGAUAUAUGUUGUGUUUUUUUUUACCUUCAUUGAGCAGCAGAUUAUAGCAUCUGUGUGAUGCCAAAGAUUCUUAAGAAUAGAUUCAUUGCCUUCGCUGUUUGACUUAAGUAGCUCAACACCCAUGUAGCCCCUAUUAUAAGGCGAAAUGAGUCAGCUUUAGUAAACUGCACAUUAUUGAUUUUGUGGAAAAUUAAAAACAUAUAUGAUAACUUGGCUUAUACCUGUAACUCUGGCAGAUCCAACGAGCAAGUGUUUGGGCUUCUGGAGUACCCAAAGGAGUGCGUAGACCAACUUGUGAACUGAUAUGAGAAGGAGAAAGAGCCAGUGCUACUCGCUGCACCGAUGAUAUGAUACCUCGAACAUACUGCCUAGCCAUGGAUGCUACAUGUUCUUGCAUAUGGCUCUCGAUACCAAACUCAAAUGCUAUUGUCAUCACAGAUCUUGCACAUGUGGAGCUUCCUGAUUGAUCAGAAGAGGCUUUUGUUCCAGCUGAACCAAUUUCCAGUGCCGAAGCAAGAUCCAAGGUUCGGUUUGGACUAGAUACUUCCUGCUUUCGGGAUUAAAAAAAAGCUUAAGAAUAUGAAAAUCUGACAUAGAAGACUUCAGUUGAAAACAUAAUUUAUUCUAAGUUUCUAACCUUUGCGGAAUCAAGGGGGAUAAUACGAAAGCCAGAAGGAAGCAGAGGUGCAUCAUCAGCAAACGAAGCAUCGAUUGGAGCAAAAAUAAGCUCAGCACAAGUUCCUACAGCACUUUCAUCCAUUCCGCUACAAAGCUAAUCACAAGAAAGAUAUAUUUCAGGUACUAGAUAUCUAUAGUAAAACCUUAUGCAGAAUAGACAACCUAGAGUACUCACUUGAAGAAGGAAGAUAUCUCUUGGAACAAUUGCAUCUUCAGGGGAAUGACCAAGACCUUCCAAUUUGAUGACUUCCAUGAACUGAGAAUGAAAACAACACCAACCAUUACUUCAACUUAAUUUUAGGAGGUAAAAGAUAUCCACUAAGAGCAUCAAAUAAACUUGAACUAACCUCUUCAUGCUCAAUAGUAUGAGCAAGUGGAAGUAUAACUUGCCCUCCAAAUCCUCCAACUCGGGCACUACAAGGGCCCACUUUAACUGCUGCUGCUAAAUAUGCAUCAAUGUUGUUGUCAGCCCAUUCUGAUCUAUGCUCCCUCAGAAACCGAAGCAGGAUCGCGGGAGGAACAUUCUGUAGUUGCAUAAUCCAAAAAAGAGGUGAGAAAGUGUUCGAACAAUCAUCACUUGACCUAUAAAAAUAAAGUGGUGCACUGACCUGUAAAAGCAUUGAUGCUUUUGCACAUAAAACAACACUGCUUACAGGAGCAAAGCCAUUGGAAAAUGUAAGAUUUAGACCCAUUAACUUGUCUGGAGAAGAGUUCACAGUGAUUGUGACAUCAUCCAUGCUAUCUCCUAUCACUGACCAUCCUUCAUCGGUGAAACCAUUAACAGCUUCAUUGAAGCCUCUGUAGGGAAAAAUGUAUAAGAUAGCAAUAUAUAUAGAACCCAAACCCAUCGAGAAGAAGAGGCAAAUCGUAAUUUAUGUGAAUACCUGCUUAGCCUCUGACUGAGAGCUCUUAAGGCAGCAGGACGACGUCCCCACCCAUUAACACUACUAUUAGUCUGAGUAACCUCUUGAGCUAUUUGCUUGAGCUGACGCAGUGCCUUUGAGACAAAUUGGAUAAAUGAAAUUCAAUCAAGAAAAAUAAUAUUUAAUAUAUCAGAAUGAAACUUAGGAGAAUAAAUGAGUUUAAUUAACAUACUGCCAUUGUUGUCUUCUGGGCAAGUACUUUUGGUGACUCAUAGAGCGGGCGCAAGACCUCAGGCACACUACAAGCCUAUUUAACAGAACAAUAUCCAAAAAAAUUGGUUAACAUUUCCAAAACACUGAUCGGAUGGAGCAUUAGAAUUGGUGCAGAGUGAGGCUUGUUACCUCCAAAUCCAUGUGAUCCACUAUGUGUAUGAUUGAGCCACCACCAUCACAAGGCCGUAUCAAGUACCCACUGGGAAGCAUCUCUGCUCUAACAAAAUUCUGAACCAGUGGCAUACUAGGACCGUUUUGAGUGCUCUUAAGAGAUCUCUCACACACCUAUAAUUUUAUAUUCGUUACUCCGUGUGAAAUAGAACAACAUGAAUAUGGAAGCCAUCACACUAAAACAAGCAUAUAUUUAAAAGCUACAUACCACAAGACUGCCAUCUUCUAACACAGAUGUGUAACGUAACAGCCAGAAAUCGCGUGGUGGGGCCAACGUAGUUGGUGCAUAGAGCUGCAAAGAUCAAGAAGAUGGUGGUCAUUAUCUUUAACUUUAGAAAAAUAAUACUAACUGUAGCACAUAUAGUUUAAAACUAACCUGCAUAUAAAGCAGCUCAACGGUUCCACCAUUGGCUGUUGGCAACACGUUCAUAACAUCAACAGCUCGACAUUCGCGGAACCACGAAGGACGAUCCUUGACGAUCUCUGCGACCUGGAAAAUAGAGAAAACAGAUUAAUUUUGUUACGUAUGUAAACACAUGUGGACUUGUACAAGAUUGUAUAGAUAUGAAAAUGAGAAUGAUUCUAUGCACGUACCCUUGUAGGCUCAAGACCCACUAGGCCACAGGCGCGUGCUGCCACACCAGUGCAACCAUGAGAAAUUGCGAUGAUUCCAAUGGAAUCCGGACCAGGCUGUUACAGAAAUACAAACCAACCAUUAAGGAAAAAGCAGAACAAACAAUUUGCUAUCUUACACUAUAUCCAGUUAACAAAAACAAAAUGAGAGGAAUUGAAGCAAGAACAUACCUUCAUUCCAGGCAUCUGAACCCACUCAACAGCGGUUCCAGUUGCCUUUGAAAGAAACUCUGCUAAAGUUUCUUCUGCAAUGGACAAAAGCCUGAAAACAUAAAAAUGUAUCGUUAAAUAUCAGAAAAUAUGACAAAGAGAAUUUUUUAACUAACAGAGUAACCAUGUCCCAAUUAAAGAACCAACCCUGCAGGACUAGCAUCUCUUUGGGGAUUUUGAGAUGCCAAUUGGUGUUGACCACUCGUCACCACCGAUUCACAGCUUGUGUCUUUAGCUGGGAGUGAAGGCUGGAUAAAAAAAAAAAAAGAAGACAAAUUGAUACACAUACCAUCAAAAAAAUAUUAUUAUUCUUAUAAGAAAAUAUUCUAGAGAUCAUUAAAAUAAGGAAACGAAGAUGUUGCAAGAGCAGUAUCCUCACAUUGGGAGUAUGUUGACGGAAGUAGCUGUUUUCAUGGACCAGCUGUGACACUUGCUUCUGCAACCUAUCAUUCUCCUCCAUCAAGAGCUUGUUCAUUGCCGUCAACUUCCGAUUCACAGCUUGAAGCCGUGAAGCCUCUUUCCUUUGUUUCUCUCUGCAUCUGAAGUUUAUAACAAAAACAAAAAUAACAAAGAUUGGAUCAACUAGAUAGAAAAAAGAGAACACCACAGAAAUUUUCAAUUACUACUAUUUUCCUAGCAAUGUAUAUAAAUUAUUACCUUCGGUUCUGAAACCACACUUUGAUCUGUUUAGGCUCAAUGUUAGAGAGAAUAGGACACUCUCUGAUCAACUGCUGACGGCGAAUUGAACUCGGUUUAGGACAUUCAUGAUAAAGCCUCUCAAGUGCUUCAACUUGUUCAGGUGUGUACCUCACAUACUUGCCGUUAUCCAAACAUCCCAACUUAUCCUUGCAAGACAUUGCCAUUACUCCUCAAACUAUUCUUCUGAUUCACAAUCACAGAAUCCACACCCCUCCAGAUGGUAACCAAAGUCUACUCUUUUCUAACAGAAGAUAACCUUACAAAAACCACAACAUACUAAAAAGGAGACAGAGAGCUUCUUCUUAAUCCACCACAAAGUUGCACAGCUUGAACAACUCCAAAUUUAGUUCCACAACCAAAUCUAAACCAUCUCAAAUCCUAAGCAUUUCGAGUGAGACUUCAGAAAUCACAUUACCGCAUAAAUAUCGAAAUUAUGUUGCCUUAACCACUUGAAACACACACGAGAGGCUUUUCUUCAUGUAAUCUCAAAAGGGCACAAAGACCAAAUCUAUCCUUUUUAAGAAGCUCAAAUACCAAAACACAAGAAAAAAAAAAAGACUUUCUUUCCCCCAAGAUUACAACUUUCCCUUUUACAAACACCGAAAAAAUAAAAAGAUUCGAACUUUUCAGAAACACAAACACACACCUAAAAAAAGAAACAAAAAACAAGAAAGUUACAACCUUUAUUAUCUAUUUUCUCGUGACAGAAUCACCGAGUUGACUCAGCCAUUAGAAACAACGAUUGCCCAGAUAACUCGAAACGAAGAAGAAGCCAUAGUAUCAACAGUUCUCAAACCCAUAUUCUCCUUCUCCGAGCUCUCAUUGAGUAGAAAAAAAAAUGAAAACUUUAUAGGAAAGAAAGAACCCUAGAAAUUGUAAUGGAAGAAGAGAGAAAAGAAAGAAAGAGGAAAGUAGAAGAGACGAAGAGGAAGAUGUAUGUAGAGAAAACAAAUCAUGAAGCUACUGUACUGUUAGUAGAUGUUAUCUACUUUGUUAAAUUUUUAGUAUUUUUAUUUUCGUCUAGCUCGUUCAUGGCAACUUUGAAUUUUUAUUAUUAUUUUUUUGGCUUUUUUAAAUCUAACUUUUAAAAAUUUUAUUUAAAAUAAUGAGUUGAUAGUGGUGUUGCGUUUGUGAAUCAACUUUUUCGUUGGCAUUUUUUUUUCUGAUUGGCACAUUUCAUAACCCAACAACACCUCGAGGAGAAAACCAAAUAUUUCACUUUUUGUCUAAAGUACCCUUGUCUCUUUGUUUUGGGUUCCAAGAUAAUACCAGUAGAACCUACAAAAAGUGUAAAUAAAAUAGUGACAUGUUAUGGUUAGUUAAAAGUUUUCAAAAAUAAAAUUAUUUAAAAUUCAUGAAAUUUCAUCGAUCAUUACUAUAUAAGAAGAUCACAAAAAGAUUGGACGACCAUGCGAAGUAUAAAAUUGUAGAAAAAUGAUUUAUAAUUUUGGAUUAAAUUUAGUGAAAAUUUUGGCAUUCUAUAUUCAUUAAGACAUGUUCGACAACUACAUUAUAUUGAUAGUAUGAGUAAUAAGAGAGUGGCAAAAGUGUAAAAAGGGUGAGAAAGGAAGGGUAAAAAAGGUAAGUAGAGGAGGAAUACGAAAAAGGGGCGUGGGAGAGAGAGGUCUGGGCGACUGCGUAGGGAGACAGAGACAACAUCAUUACCUUCUUUGCAUGCGUCUCCCUUCUCCUCCUCCUCCGUCUUAAAGCUCAAGCUACUUUUUUUUUCUUUCACAUUCUUAAAAAAAAGAGUUUUUUUUCUUUGUCAAACUACAAUUUUCCCAAUGAUAUAUGUAAAAAGAAUGGUAUUAGCAUAUUAUAUAUUAUAUUAUACUCCUGAAUUGAAAUUGCUCAUCAUGAUAAAUUCAUUGUGUGGCUUUCCAAGUGGUUACUUUCAAGUUUCAACUUUUUCAAUUACCAAAAUAUUUUUCAUUAUUAUAGAUAGACAACUAUAAAAAAAAAAGAAAAAAAAGCGUAGAAUUUGAUUUGUACAGAUGGUAUGGACUCUUAACUUCGAAGCAGGCCAGACUACAGUCAAGCCCAUUGGGUGUCAUGGGAUAGUGCAAUUGUUUUUCUUUGUUAAUGGCCUUUGUUUCAUUAAGUUAACGUCACUUUUUCUCUGGUCAAAAUAAAUUGUUAGGUGUUUACUGAGAUUUUAGCUGAGAUUUAACAUCAAAUUGUUAUUCUGGUCAAAAGAUCAUUUGCUAAUUGUAGAUUACAUAUCUGAACCGAACCAAAUAGUCAUAAAACCCGAACAGAUAAUGAAUUUCUUUCUCUACUUGAAUCAUCCAAAACCGACAUUUAUCGUAAUCGAAUUCAAACUCAAACCGAAUAAUCUUAAAAAGUUAAAAUUUUCCAACCCUGUAUUGGUCUAAUUGUAGUAAUUAUUAUAAAAAAAUGCUAAAUGGAUAAUGUUGAUUAUCAUAUAAAUAUUCUUUUUUAAAAGAAAAUAGUGACAUGUUUGCAUAUUUCCCUACAUAAAUCUUUUCUCUCUACCCGUUAUCAUACCUUUUAUUUUAUUUUAUGUUUUUGUGUAAUGUUCUUGCAGUACUUGUCCAAAAUAUAUCACCAACUUGCUAUAUUACUUUAUUAAAAAUAAAUCGAUGUUCUUGACUUAAAAUUUGUAUUGUAGUGACUUCCACGUUGCUUUCUAUUAUAACAACCAAAUUAGCGCAUAUGAUUUAAGUGGUAAACUGCACCACGAAAUUAAAGCAACGAAACUACAAACACAUUGACACAUACUUACUAAAAUAAAAUAUCAAAACCCUAAAGUCACAACAACGACCAACAAAAAUAUUAGAAAAUGAGUAUUUGGUGAUCAAAAACUCAACGACAAAAAGGAGGGAGAGAGAGAGUGGGUUAGUUGAAUGGCCAUUUUGUUCGCAUGUCUCUUCUCAAAUCUCCUCCACCUUCUUUUUAUGCUCUUCCUUUUUUCCCGACGACUCUCCAAAACUAUAAUUUUUUUAUAUAUAUUUUUUUGUAUAUUCCAAUUCAAAACUAUGCUUUUAUUCUACUUAUUCAUAUACAAGAACUUAUUGUGUUUAUGAUUUAAUCAUUAUUUUAGUGUAUAUUAUACACAUGUAAUUGCAAAAACGAUAUAUACAAAUUUCAGAUUAUUUUAUGAUGAUUUAUAUUUUUGUAAAUGAAAAUUGAGUAAUUUAAUAAUUAGUUAGAGAUAUUAGUGGAAUUGAUCUAACGACAGUUUAAGUCUUUUAAAUUAAUUGGUUUAUCCAACAAUAAACACCAAAAUUAAAUUAGUGCAAAAGACAAGUGUCAAUAUAUUAUAGAGAUUCAUAAAUACAAAUUAGAGAAACCCCCAACAGAAAAUGUGAAGCUUCUCAUUUGUCUCAUUCUUCUCCUGAGAUUAAAAGCUUUCUCUCUUCUUCUUCUUCUUUAAUGGAAGAAUCUCAGGGCAUUAAUGGCGUCGAUGAUUCAUAUCGUCAUCUCCCAGUUCUCUACUUAACUUUCUUAUCGAUCUGGUCUCUCUCUGCUUGUUCUUGGACGGUUAACACUUUCAAAAAUCGACACUUUCAGGUCAAUCUGAUCUCUCUCUCUCUCUCUCUCUCUCUCUCUCUACCGUACUCCGUACCNNNNNNNNNNNNNNNNNNNNNNNNNNNNNNNNNNNNNNNNNNNNNNNNNNNNNNNNNNNNNNNNNNNNNNNNNNNNNNNNNNNNNNNNNNNNNNNNNNNNCUCUCUCUCUCUCUCUCUCUCUCUCUCUCUCUCUCUCUCUCUCUCUCUCUCUCUCUCUCUCUCUCUCUCCUCCUCCUCCUCCUCUCUCUCUCUCUCUCUCUCUCUCUCUCUCUCUCUCUCUCUCUCUUUUAGUUUGAUAAAGCUUCGAUUUUUAACUCUUGGGUUUUGAUGAAACUUAUCCUCAAAUCCUUUUAUUUCAGAAUGGUUCUGUUUUUUGUUUUUUGUUUGUUUUGUCUUGUCUCGUUCAUGUUCUUAGAGACACAAUUUGAUUUUGAUUUAUGUGUUUUUGUUUUAGAGCAGACAAAUAGUUUACAAUGGACUCUUGCUUCAGUUCCAUUAAUCAAAGCUUUACAGCUCACUCUAUCUUUCCUAUUUUGGUAAGUCCUCUUUGUGAAGUUAUUAUUGCCAUUAGUGUUCCUUUGGCAAAUUGAGAAACUUUUUCUCUUUGGUACCCUUUUCGGUGUGCAGGCAUUCAUGUUUUCACCAUCACAUUUGCUCUCUUUGGAUGUCUUUCGGUGUCUAUGUGACCGGUGUUCUGUUUCAGACAGCUUCAUUUGUGUCUUUUUUACUCAUCUCUCACGGUUAUUGCAUCACUUGUGAAAGGCUCUCAUUGACUGAACGUAGAACCACAGCUUCGCUUGGUUGUGUCUUUUACCUGACUCUUGUUGGAUACCGAGCUUCUGUUCCUUAUUUUGCAGUGAGUAGUGUUUGUUUACCUUCUUCUUAUCAUCUCACUUGAAGCUAAUGCUUUGCUUAUUAUAUGAUGAUGAACCAAUCUUUUUUUUACUUUCUCCAGGUGCUUUUGAUACUUAACUACAUGAUCUCAUUCUACGUUAUUUUCCACCACAUAUCGCAAAACCUAUCGGUGUUACGAGAACAGCUCAGUUUCAUUGAGGAUGAGAAUGUUCAAGCUAUGCAUGAUGCUGUGUAUGCUAAAUAUAUCAUGUUCAAGUACGUUUCGCCAUUUUUCAGUACAUCCUCAGUUCUGUGGUAGAUCGAAGUAGAUAAACCGCUAAGAGUUUUUAUAUCUUCUUUGGUUUCAGAAAAUUCCAAGGAGCUAUGCAGAUUGUAGCAAUGGCAGAAACUGUGGUAUGAUGCGCAUAUCUUUCUUUUUUUUCACAUCAUGUUGGAUUUUUUACUUACACUCACCUUGGCUUUUCGCAGAUCUAUAUGAACAUGGAUAACUCCUCGCAGAACUAUUGGCUCCGGCUGUUAAUUCGAGAAUGGGCUCAGUUCUGCAUUUUUCUCUAUAUUGGGUAAAGUUAUGAUCCCACUUUUCAACUUCUCAAGUGCAUUACUCUGUUCUAGCUUGGUCAAGAACUAAUGAUGUUCCAAACUAUACAUUUGGCAGUUGGACUUUCAGGUCUCAGGACAUGGCACCACGUUUCUCGGUAAUGCCUACACUUAAACACAAAGAGAAUACAAUCAUUCCUCCGAUUUAUAGCAUGGUAAGUGACACAAUGUAAACUUCCUAGUGCCUUAUCUUGUUUUGCUGAUAUGUUUUAGUUGCAGUAAUGUUCUAGUACUUAUGCUAAUCUAUAUAACUAAAAACUUCAGGAAAUGGACGCAAAAUCAUUUAAAGAGUUCAGAAGUCAUGAAUGGAACAUUGGAGUGGUAAGUCAUUUCAUUAAUGCUAUUGUUCCAUUGUAUCAUCAAGCGAGAGUUAUAUGCAGUAACUCGUUCUGCGAUUGAAUCUUUCUUUGUUUGUAGCCAAUGCCAUAUUCAAACUACGAAAGGCCGAAAGAUUCAGUUCUAGUUAUAAUUCAGCAUCCACGAUAGCAUAAAGAGGAAAGCAAAAGAUACAAUGCUAGAGUGAAAGAUCACUAAAGAGGGCUAGCUAAGUUUCUCUCCGGUUAAGACAAGAUGCUUCCUCAGCAACUUCCUUUUACAAUUUUUAGUUUUGUUUCUCUGUUUUGGGUUUUGGGGGUUUCUUAUCUUAUAGAGAAAUAAGAGUUGGUAUUUUAUUGUAUAGAUGCAAAAAUUAGUUCUACUAGAAUAUGCUUCAAAAUGAAAAUGUAAACACAAAUGUUUCAUCUUUUUCUCCACAAAAUGAAACAAAAGAAACACUUGUUAAAGAGAGCAACUCUACAUCUCUACAUGUCUAUAUCCUUUAAGAAAAAAAAUCCAUCUCUUCUCGACAUACUCAUACAAAUUCAUACCUAGCUAAAAGAAUAAUGCAUAGCUUAUGUUAUGUGGUCUAGCCACCAAUUUUACGUGGCACUUCCGUCAAAAAAGUUGUCAUACAUUCAUGUUUGAUUUUGAAUGGCUAUUUAGUGGUUAAUUCAAACAAAUGCAAUUAAUAUGUCAUCCUUUACUUUGAGUUUAGUUCCUCGUAGUGUUACUACUUACUAUCAUCGAGGAUAAAUUAACACAAACUUGUAUGUAAACAAUGUUCUUCCGGUUUGGUCAACCGAACCUUUGUUAUAAUAGUAUUAAUUUUUGAAAAAACAUUAAUUGCAAUAAAUCUGUCAAAACUGUGAGACUAAAAUUGUUUACCGAUAUUUUUUUCCCUCUUUGCUUUCCUUUCAACCACAAAACAGCACUAUCUCCUAAUCCUAUAAAACUAGAAACAGGGAACAAAGGAGAAAGAAACAACCUAUUUCACUGUUUGAUGGGUCAUCAAAAAGCUUCUUCCUUUAAGUCAUCAUCUGCAUCUUCAUCUUCAACCAUCUCAUCUCUGAAGAGAGUUUUGAAAUAAGGUAAAACCUUGGGAAGCACUUGCAAAUCCGCCAUGUUUAUACUCAUCAGAUCAAAGGCAAUGCAGGUAUUAUGCAUAUGCGACUCAUCAAUCACUGGAAUCUUCGGAUAUCUCUGGCUAAAAUGCGUUAGCACAAUCCGAUACACACCCGCUGAAGAUCCCAUAUCGAUUGCUUCUUUAGUCGUGCUGUGAUUCUUUGCCAAAGCUUCUUCUAUCAAUGCAUCUUCAAACGUUGCCUGUCAAAAAAUACAAUCAGUUUAUAAAUGUCGAAAUCUCAUACACAGAAUGAGUUUAUAAAAAUUUACCUCAUGUAUAAGAACUGUUGCAUCUCGUGAUGCUUCAACGAUCUCGGGACAAGGUCUUGUGUCGCCUGAAUAGACCAUUUUCCAUCCUGGGAUUUGUUCUCCAACACUAUUUACUCUUUCAGCUGCUUUUAUAACGAUGCCAAAGGCUUGAGGGCAAUGUACAACAGGAAAACUAAUCAAAUCAUCCAAACCAAUUUCGCUAAGAACCUUUUUCAGAUUCUUUAAACACAGCAAAACCGAAGAGUUAUCCAUCGGGAUAUCAGAUCUUUUGAAGACACUCUGCAUAGGACUUCCUGCACGAAACAAAGAACCCUCUGCAUCACCACCACUUUCCAAAGAAGCCCAAGAACUUGAUGUGGUGCUUCUACAAUCAAGAAAUUCCAUAUCUAAAUCCUCAAGGCUUUGAUAUGCAUCAAGAAAGCGUUUAAGUGGCCUCGGUCCAACCACAAUCACUGGCUCAUGAGUCACUCCUUUCAAAAGCUUGCUUCUAAGAGCUAGAAUUCUCGCAAGACCCGCAUGGUGAUCGGCGUGGAUAUGAGAGAUCCAUAUACAUCUCAAUUUUUUAACCGCCUCAUCUGCACUGUCUAAACCAUAUCUUCUUUUAAGCUGGCCCAAGGUUCCUUCCCCACAAUCUAGGAGAAUACUACCUCUAGAGAACAAAUCAAUAUAAAUUGCACUGACAUUUCGGUAUUUCGAAGGCUGAGACGAACCAGUGCCUAAAAGAACAAUCUCCAUGUCAUCUCGUCUGAUGUUUUCAAGACAGCUAGGAAGAACAGUGUUGCUCUCAGUCAGCCAUAGCUUUUCUAUGAUCGUCUUGUUGUGUUGUUUAUUCCAGAACUGCUUAAUUUCUUCGCUUUUAUCUUUGAUCUCUGGAAUUUCUGAAAGUAGCUCAUCCACUACUUCUGAGGAUGUGGAUGGAGCAGGGAUAAAAGAUCUGUCCAUCCCACGAAUAGCAAGGGGACGCAAAUUGAACUGCCCACAAUAUUCAGGGGAGGAGAUUUAGUUUCUAAAGAUUCUAAAGAAAUUUCAUUUUUUAGUUUGUUUAAUGAGACAAAAUGGGAGAAAAUCAAAACCGAAGUGUUGGAGAUGUCAAUACCUUGAGGAGAUUUUCAGCAGAAAUGCUUUCAGCGAGAUUUGAACUUGUGCACUGUAACAAUAUACAACUUUACUUAAUUGAAUAUGAUGAAUCAAACUUAAAUCAACUUAAUAUGAGAAAAGCAAUUAGCAACCUUGUUCGAAGGAGUGGGAUCUAUUAUCGAGUUAUCAGCAAGUUGAGAAGGCCAAAAUCCAGGUGCAGGAAAGAACUGCGGGCAUAAAUAGUUAAGCUUGGCAGCGAUUCUUGAACUUGCUUUCAGAACUGGGAAAGCCAUAUUCUUCCUGGAAAAUAUACAGCAAACGCAACAUAAGCACCGAGCAAAUUACUCAACAGUUUUUUUAUUAGAAAUUUUUUAAAGAAGAGGGGGCAACCUUUGAUGGCCAGCAAGAAUGUGUUGAGUUGAAUGAAACUUCUUCAUCCAGCUUUGGUAAGUAGGACUACUUGUCACAGAAGAUGGGCUUAAAUGAAUAAUACAAUUUACAAACUUUGCUCCCUCGGUUUGAUCAUCUGGACAUGAAUAAUAACUCUCCAAAGAGCUAACUGAGAACAAUUCUGCGGCAUGUGACUCUGUUGGACAGUCCACAAGGAGAACUAUGGGACCAGGAAGUGAAGGUCCCAUAACAUCACUUGGAUAAACCUAAGAUCAAAGCAUGAACAGUGUCUUAUCAUUAUUUAUACAACAUGUCCACUCCAAGAGAUUUUAAAAAGUCAUUGGAUCGCAGCAGAUAUACCGUAAUAUCUCUUUCAUCUGACUUCACUGAUUGUCCAGACUGAAGUUUACUAUAUUUUGGACCAGGCUUAACACCAAAAAUCUUCUUGGCCUUCUCUAAGUCAAACUUUCCCAAUAUUUCAGGUAAUUCACAUACAUAUACAACUGAGAGCUCGCCAGAUUUGCUGCCAGAGUCUUCCUCAGAUUGACACGGUUUUAAGAUAAUGGCGGAUAUUUUCACAACUUCGUCGUUCACAAGAACAAUAGGAUCAGGUGUACUCGAGGGACCAAAAGUCCGUGUAUGAACCAUAGCGGCCCGUGGAAUAAACGAUUUCAUUGCAUCAACUAAGUAAUUAAGAUCAGAAGGACCCCAUACAUUCACCUUUGUAACAAAACAAAAACAAAAACAAUACUUCAGCAAUUUCAUACUCAACAAGAAACAACAACAACAAAAAACACAACAUGUCAAGAUUACUCACAGAAAGCCCUUCUUCACCAAUACCAGCAAGAGUUAGUAGAAGACCUAUGACAUCAAAACAAGAAUAACUUAGCAUCACCAUAAACCUAAAGCUCAAGCAACAAAGACAGAACUUGAAGCUGGAACAAACCUGGAAGUCCUCCUGCUGUCUCUGAGCAGACACGAGACAAAAAUACAUGAUCUAUCUGUAAGGGUAACAGAAAAUCAUUACAAUUUCAAACUUACCUCAUCACACACAUACAAAGAGAAAACAGAGGAGAUUUAGUGAUACUUACCUUAGAUAGUUUAAUCUUAUGUUCUGUACAGAAACGUUGCAAGCCCUAAAAAUACAUUCAAUUCACAAGUAAGUGAUCAAGAAACAUACAUUCAAAUUGCUGAAUCAGUAAGAGUUUUUAUAUACCUCUCCAGCAUUAAAGAUGAAUCUUUGCUUGUCAAAAAAGAGUAAUACAGAAGACGAAGUAUCCUGAGUAUCCAUUCCCGUUCCAAGAAUCUAAAUUGAUGAAAUUUCACACAACAAAACAGGAUUUUUUUAAGUAUGGCUAGAGAUUAAAAAUCCAAAAUUGGAAAACGAACUAGUCUAUGAUACACAUAUGUAUAUAAUUAAUAACCUGUGCGUAAGCAAUAGUGUUUGUGGGAUUAAGCUUUUGGCUUUUGCGUUCAAGAUUCCUUUUUUUCUUAUCGGUUAUGUCAAUCCCUUCAGCUCUUCGUUUAUUAAACACGAAGGAAUUAGAAGGCUUGGAACCAUCAUGAUUAGCUUCGUGCUUCUCCAUUGAAGACGAUGAAGAAGAGAAGACGGUUGAGAGAGAGAAGGAUCGUGGAGACAAGGGUCUUAGAGAAAGAGGUAAAGGACAAGACUUUAUAGAAGAAGAAGAGAGAAGAAGAAGAAGGCGUAGGUUUUUGGGUAAAUAGGGCAUUGAGUUUAUCAUCUCUCUCUCUCUGGAGAAAAAACUCGAAAGUUUUCCUCUUUCGCCCAGAAGGGUUUUAGCAGCCAAGACACAAGAACAUGAGUUAAAGUCAUUAGUUUGUGUUCGGUCUGAUUAUCAAGAAGCUGGAGUAGCUCAGUUGGUUAGAGCGUGUGGCUGUUAACCACAAGGUCAGAGGUUCGACCCCUCUCUCUAGCGUUAAUUUUAUUUUCCAUUCAUUUUACACGUUUUUGUAACCUUUCCCAAUCAAUUGAUAUUCAUACAAAUUUGGAAAAAAAAAAAAAAAAACAUACAAACACAACCAAAAUAUUAGAAAACAAGAAACACAAAUCAUACAUCAUUCUUUUUUUUUUUUUUUGUCAACAAUCAUACAUCAUUCAUAACUUUAGAUUUUGUGUUUUAAGCAGAGGAAAUAAGAGGAACACGUUCGGACUCGGUUGGUUCAGGUUUGGUCUCAGUGAUAAAAGCGUUGGAGUAGAUAACUCCAGCAAGUCCACCACCAACAAGUGGACCGACCCAAUAAACCCAAUGUCCUGAGAAAUCUCCAGCGGCGAGAGCUGGUCCAAAGGAACGAGCAGGGUUCAUGGAACCACCAGAGAACGGACCGGCUGCAAGAAUGUUAGCACCAACGAUGAGACCGAUGGCUAGUGGAGCGAUUGUUCCAAGAGUGCCAUUGUUGGAGUCAACAGCUGUGGCGUAAACGGUGUAGACCAACGCGAAUGUGAUUAUGAUCUCCAUCACUACUCCUUGUGUUGAUCCUACUCCAGCCGCAACGCUGUGGAUUGGAAUAGCCUGCGUUUUAAGAAUUCUUGCGUUUUGUUAACAAUAUCCAAAAAGAGUAUAAAUUCCAUAAUGGCGUUAUGAACGGUACGAAAAAUAAAAUACAACACUUCAACUAAUAUAUAUAGUGAGUAUAUUAAAGCGUACCAAACCACCGGUGACAAAUUUGAGAAGGAAGCAAGCAAUGGUGGAGCCGAGAAGCUGAGCAAUCCAAUAGAAAACUCCGGUGAUGAUUGUGACUUUUCCGCCAACAACAAGGCCGAAAGUAACGGCUGGGUUAACAUGGCCACCAGAGUGGUUAGCUGCGAUGGAAACCGCAACAAAGAGAGCAAAACCGUGGCAAAUCGCAAUCGCCACUAGUCCGGAUGCAUCGAGAGCUGCGUUCUCCGUUAGCUUCCCUAUGUUUACACAAAUAGUUGUGCCAUUCGGUAAGUAUUAAUCCAUAAUAACAAGUUAGGUGACUAGUUAAAUUACAUUUUCUACGAAAAAAUUGAUAUUAGUUUGAUAUAAUUGCAUGGUGUAACAGUUGAAAACUACGUUACAAGUACAAACUAGAUAUAGGUAAGAGAUAAGCUUCGAUCUUAUUUGGCUGGUAACGCGCGAUCUUCUUUCUAUGAUCGAAAAAUCACGGAAUUUGAAAUGUAUUAGGUUGCAUAUAGUGCAAAUUGCGAGAUAAGAGAACGAACCAAAGGCAAUAGCGGAGCCAACACCAGCGAAAACAAAGAGCAAAGUGGAGAUGAACUCAGCUAGAUAAGCUUUUAAAGUUCCCAACUUAAAGGAGUCUUCAAAGGAACCAAAGUCAAGACCAGCCAUUGUUGAAAAAUGUGAAGAAACGUAUAGAAGAAGAAGAAGAAGAUUUGUUGUCAAUGCAAAGCACUUGCAUGUACGACUCUAUAUAUAUAGGAUCGGAGCAUAUUCAUAAUACAUAUAAAUCCAGGCAUAACUACCAAUAUGAGUUUUGUAGUGCGCUGGACAUGAGUUCCAAUGAUUGGUUUUAUAUCCUAUUAUAUAAUGUUUUACGUCAUGGACGGUCUACGAAAACGUUGAUGAUAUGUAUAUAUAACGACAUGAGUGAUUGUUAGUAGCUACCCAUUUUUAUCAGUUUAUAAAUAUAGGUGAUGGUUAUAUAAUAAUUAGUAACAUGGAAUCAAGAAUUCGAGUUUCUCGAUCAAGGUCACCGCAAAUCGACAUGAUUAAAUUACCUAAACAAACAAAAACAAAACAUCAUAUAUGAUUGAUCAAUGAUCAUAUAUUUCGGGAAAUUUUAAUAUUUGAGGUUUGGUGGACCUAAAUAUAAACAGAGAGAGAGAUAGUGUGAGGCUGUGAGCUGUGACCAACGUGGAACAGACCUGGAUCAUAUUGCUAGCGACCAAUGAUCUUCCAUGUGAUAUGGUGUGAUUUUGAAGACACUUUCACUGACUUUUCAUUCUAAAUUUAUCCCUAAUUCUAUGUGGUAAUAGCAUGCAUUAAACUAUAUGUUUAUGUUCAUUAUUGCACAAAAAAGAAAUUUUGCGAAAACAAUAUCUACAACAAACCUAUAUAUGUUAAUGAAAUGGACAAUGUAAUGGCUAAAUUUUUUAUUAUAUGAACUUAGUUUAUUUAGUAGAACUUAAUCAAACUUAAAAGUCAAACCUAAACUUAGUUUACAAAAUGGGUUGCGAUUAGGUGGCCGCUAAGUUGGAGUUAAACAAGUCUUGAAAUUUUUAUAAUAAGUUUGAUUCCGUUGUCUUGCCUUCAUGAACAAGAAUAUUUCCCAAUUAGGAGUUGUUGACUAAUUUAUUAUUUAUUACUCGUCUUUGAUUUACUGCUUAUCCCUAGAGUAAGUUACAAGUUUUACAUAUUAAUUAAAUAUAUAUUUACUGAACAACAUUUUCGUUUCGAUAAGCAAUGUACCAUCUUUACACACAGCCACAGAUUCUUUUCGCUAAGCAAUAAGCCAUAACAUUUUAAAUUAUCUACUGAAUAGAACAUUGUGUCGUAUCAAUGAAAUAAGAAGGAAAAAGAAAACAAAUAUCUAAAUCAGUAAACUACCUUAUUAUCUCUUUAGGUGUUUGAGCAAAAUUAAAAUGAUAGUUAUAUCCAAAAAUAACUAAAUAUCAAAUAAUUAUGAUACUACAAAUAAUACCAAGUACGUAUAAUCGUUAAAAAACUACACAUGCAAUAAUAUCAAGUACGUAUAAUUGUCAACGUUUGAAACUGUACUUAUUUUGUUUGUUUUCAGUCGUACUUAAUAGAGUCCGCCUUUAGCCGUAUUUAAUAGAGUGGUGCCUUCAGUCUAGCUUAGACUCCUCCGUCCGAAGUCUUAUACCUGCUUUCACCCAACGCUUUAUUCGAUCACUCUAAGUUAAGGGAUGCUUUAAUCCAUUUUACAAUGGUUAAAACUAAUUUUUUGUGAUAUUUCUAUUAAAAUUAAUUUGACGUACCGUUUUUCUAAAUCACUUAUAAUGUAUCUUACAUGUUGUUUUCAUUGACGGACCAUUUUUCUAAGUGUGAUUGUAAAUAAAAAUAUUAGUAUGAAAAAAAAAAUAUCGCAAAAUUAGAUUGGAUAUUGUUUUGGGUUUAGUUUUUCUUUUAGUUUGAAGCUUUUUAUUAAUCAAGUUAUCAAAAACAAUUUCAUAUUUUUUGAAUUUAUUUAAUGUUUUCCAAAUUUUUUACUCGUCUUUGAUUUAGUGCUUACCCUCAAAGUGACAAGAUUAACGUAUUAAACAUUGUACUGAAUAACAUAUAUUUUUCAAUAAGCAAUGUACAAUACUACAAUCUUAUGAUCAAAAUAUAGAGCUUUUACCUGAAUAAUUUAUCGGCUAUAGAGAAGUGCAUACGCAUAAGAUAAGAGUUAUUCUAAAACCCAAAAAAGGAAAAUGGGUAUGAGAGUGAGGCUCAUAUACUAAUAUGAAUGACCCAAACUCAAAAAGCAGCAUUAUGUAAUUAUAAAAACUUUAAGAAGCAAACGAAUAAUAAAAUCUAAACAAAAACUAUGAAAAAGUUAUAUCUCAUGUUAAAUUGGAAAACAUUGAAAACUAGCUUACCAGUGUGUUACGUGUUAUGUAUGAGAAAAAUGUCAACAGUCGUUGCCGAUACUGCUCAUGCGUGCGGACACAAAAAGCCCGAUUUGAUCUUAAACAACCUAAAAUUAGAUGGACUUAGGCCCAAUACAUCAUGUGUAGUUAUUUAUAAUUUGACUUAUACAGAGGCUGGCAUAUUCUAAUAAGGUUUCUAUCGAGCCUCUCGGUCUCUCUACAACGAUGCAUGUAUAGCAUCGGUCAAGACUUUAUUGAGCAUCGUUAAGCUCUUGGAUUUGGAGGUAAAUUUGUUAGGUGAUUGACCGAAAGAAACUAUGAAUCAAAAUGGACCAAGAUUGCGACUGGAUAUCUAAAAUUCAAUUAUAGAAUGUAUAAACAUAUAUGUACACAUCAAUAUCUUAUAAAAGCUUACAUUUAGGUAAUUCAUCAUGUGUAUAUGAGAGAAAGUUCAAUACAAUUUCUCAAUAAUGUUUUCUUACCUCUUAGCGUGAUGCAACAAUAUCUCUUUUAGUUUUGAAUACUUUUUUCACUAACUUUAGUAAUUUUCAACUAUAUAUCUGCAAUCUGCUCUAGCUAAUGUUCAGAGCUUGACCACAUGCAAGAGACCAGAGAAUUAAAGCACAAAAAUCUCUUCUUCUUCUUUCUUUGUUAUAUAUAAUUUUAUCUCGAAAAAAUAAUUAAGUAUCUGUGCUUUCUUCAUGUCGCAACAUGUUAAGCUAGUCUGGGUCCAUUACCAUUAUUCUAGUGUUUAUGGCAAUAUAACUGAAACCUCAAAUUUGAUUCUUCAACUCAUGACAUAUAACCAAAGUUGGUUCUAGGAAUAUAGUAGAUAACAUUUAAUGCUUUUCAAAUUAUUAUUAUUUAAUGUCGACCCAACUCUAUAUAUCUUCUAAAAGUUACUUAAGAUUGAACUUAUUUUCAAACGGUAAUUGUAAAAAAGAAAAUCAUAACUAAAAUUUGAUGUCCCUUUAUUAUGUAAUAGUCAAUAUUUUCGAAUGUUAUGUUAUGCAUUUGCUAAUGUCACUACAAGUAUACGAUACAGAUAAAGUUUACGUAUCAGUUUUAACUUUAGUUUAACGACAAAGGCAUAACAAUGUACGUGGGUGUGGGCUAUAAUGUAGAAGAAGAGUUUAGUAAAGCUUAUCCUUAAACCUAAUCUAUCUCUCUCUCUCUCUCUCNNNNNNNNNNNNNNNNNNNNNNNNNNNNNNNNNNNNNNNNNNNNNNNNNNNNNNNNNNNNNNNNNNNNNNNNNNNNNNNNNNNNNNNNNNNNNNNNNNNNUCUCUCUCUCUCUCUCUCUCUCUCUCUCUCUCUCUCUCUCUCUCUCUCUCUCUCUCUCUCUCUCUCUCUCUCUCUCUCUCUCUCUCUCUCUCUCUCUCUCUCUCUCUCUCUCUCUCUCUCUCUCUCUCUCUCUCUCUCUCUCUCUCUUGUUGUCAUCCAUCCACUACUGUGUUUGCCUCACUUUGUACCAUCUUUGAAGUUUUAUGAUCAGGGUCCCUUUAUUAUCAAUUAGGUUUGAGUUGUUUGACUAAUAUUCCAAUUUGAUCUUAUUAUUGAAAAUCCAUUUUACCAAACGCCCUUAUAGUGACAACACUCACGAUAUUUCGAAAGCCCAUCAAUAAAGAGAAUCUUCUUAUCUUUUUGGUCGUCCAAUUUGGUUUUAAUAUUAACCUAAUUAAUCAACCACACCACAAAGAAUGUCUAUACGUCUUUGGAAACGAUACUUAUGACAUUCAUUUAUUAUUUAUGUCGAAGCAACCCUACUACUUACUCUACACGUCGGCCUUGCAAAAUGGAUUUGAAAUGCAUUGUACAUAUGCAAAAAACAUCUGACUCUAAACUAUUUUUUAUUUUUCAUAUAAGUAUCUUAUAAAUAGAGAUUGUUUGAGAGAUUUUACAAGAUUAUAGAAAAACUCAUCAACAAAAUUACACAAAACUCUCUAUCAAUCCUUUCUGAUUUUACUAGAGUCAUCUAAAUUCUUUGCGAAUUAGAAUCCAAUAACACCCCUUAAACAGUAGUACUACUAAUUAGUUGAAAGAGAUAAUUACCUCAAAAUUCCCUACGAUCAUUUCUUAUAUUUAUUGACAUACAUAUUAUUCUCCUACCUUGUUACAUCAGUUAUAUUUAUUGACAUACGUAUACUCACUGUUAAUAAUUUUUUUUAAAAAAAUAUUUCAUUGUUACCAAAAUACAUUGUUACAUCAGUUAAUAAAAAAUAAAUAGGAAAAAAUAGGUUUGUAUGUCGACAGUAUAGAAAAUAGAAUAAAUUUAUAAGAUUUUUAGUAAUAGAGACGAGUAGAUAUGACUUAUGCGAGAACAGAGGACAAGAGAGUUGAAAGUCAAAAGACAUUGGUGCGUGCACUUGGACGAACUUCACCAAACAAUUGCACGUUAUUUUUAUUUUUAUUUUUUUCCAAUCUUCUUUUUUUAUUUAUUUUUUAUUACUUUUUAGUUUUUUCAUAUCAAAUGAAAUCGCAAAUUAACCUCCAUAUUUUAUAGUUUUGAUAUUGAAAUAUAUAUCUACUUAUAUAGUAUCGUUCAAUCAUAGUUCUGCAGGUUUAUAAAAGUUAAUUGAAAGAAAAAGGUCAUUAUGCAAUUAACGUAGUCAUUAUCAUAGUUUGAAUAUUACCUAAUAUGGUCACAAUGUUAGAAUGUAUCAACACCACACAAAGACGCAUGAGCACAAAAGAGGAAGUAGACAUGGAAGCUCAUUAUUGUGUGUAAAAAAGGAGAUAGUAGUGUCAAGUGAUUGAACAUCAAAAAGAAAAAAGAAGAAAUUAAAAGAGAAUAGUUUUAAAACAAAAAUAAUUAUAUAUUUGCAGAAGAGUGGGUGAAAAAAUUUGAGUCAGAAGAACUUAGAAGAAAUGAGACAGACAAAAGUCUAAAUGUUUUUUUUAUUUUCUGAGAGUAAAACAAUGGAGGAAAAUAUAUGAAUCUGAUGAAAAAUCUGACACAACUUUAGUUUAUUAUAUUUUUGUAUGUUGAAACAAGCAAAGCAAUGAAAUAAAUUUGAGGGUUAACGUGCAAUUCAAGCAAUAUCUAGCUCAGAGGUGAUAAGAGCAUGAGCAAUGGUAUAAUUUAGAGUAUGCAUCUUAGGGUAAAUAAAUUAUAUUAAUAAUGUAAUAGUGUAUUUUAAGAACCAAGGAAAAUUGAGUAGUUAUUGGUUGAUCCCGUAGGUUCUUACAUUUAUAAUAAUAUAAUAAUGAUAUAUUUAUAAAUUAAAUUGAAAAUUUAUAAAAUGAAAAUUUUUUAAAACUUAUAAAUUAGAUUAGAAGAAUAAAAAAAUCAUAACAAACUUUAUAAAUAUUUUUAAACAAAGCACAAACAACCUUUAUAAAACAAAUAAUAACUACAAAAGGACAAUAAAUAAAAAAAUUACAAACAUAAAAGAUAGAAACAUUAUAAUUUAAAACAGAAAAUUUUAAAAAUACAAACAUAUUAUGAAACACAAAACAUAUGAAAAGUUUAUAAACCUUUUCAAUCAUUUGGAAGAUGUCCAAAUUUAGUCCAAAUAUUCUCAAUCAAAUCCUCCUUCAAUUGAUGUGCAUGUUUAUCACGUAUUCUUCUACGACGAUCACCUAUACCGUCGAGAUUUGUUGCCAUAUUGUUCGAAAAUGUAAAAUCCUGGUCACCUUCUUGGAAUUCUUGUUCGUCAAAGAGAGUGUAUGAAUGUCGUUCAUCUUCAACAAUCAUAUUAUGAAGUAUGAGACAUACUCUCAUAAUAUAAGCAAUUUUACCUUUUUCCCAUAGAAGACAUGGAUUCUUAACCAUUGCGAAUCUUGCUUGAAGGACUCCAAAUGCACGCUCAACAUCUUUUCGUGCAGCUUCUUGACGUUUUGCAAACAAAGAAUGUUUCGGGCUUUGUGGUAGUCGGAUGGAUUGAAUAAAUGUCGCCCAGUCGGGGUAAAUACCAUCCGUAAGAUAGUAAGUCAUGUUAUAUUUCCUUCCGUUGACAUAGUAGUUCGUUUGGGGGGCUUGACCUUGUAUAAUGUCAUUAAAAACCGGUGAUUGAUCAAGAACAUUUAAAUCGUUGCAAGUACCUGGUGCUCCAAAAAACGCGUGCCAAAUCCAUAGAUCUUGUGAAGCUACCGCCUCCAAAACAAUAGUUGGUUUUCCGGUACCUCGAGAAUACAUACCUUUCCAUGCGGUUGGACAAUUUUUCCACCCCCAAUGCAUACAAUCGAUGCUCCCAACCAUUCCCGGAAAUCCCCGUUGUUCUCCAAUAUAAAGUAGCCUUUGAAGAUCCUCUUCUGUAGGCCGCCUUAGGUAUUCAUCGUCAAACAAGUCAACAAUUCCAACGACAAAAUGUUCCAAACAGUUUCGAGCUGUGGUUUCACCAAGACGUAUAUAUUCGUCAACCGUGUCUGCUCCACCCCCGUAGGCUAAAAGUCGAAUUGCUGCAGUACACUUUUGGAGGGGUGAAAUACCAUUUCGGAAGGUUGCAUCUUUUUUAGGCUGAAAAUACCCAACUUCUUCUGAGAGACGAUUGACAAUACGUAGGAACAACGGCUUGUUCAUUCGAAACCGUCUUCGAAACAUCCUUUCCGGGUAAGUAGGAUUGUCACUAAAAUAAUCGUUCCAUAAACGUUCGUGACCUUCUUCUCGAUUUCUUUCGAUAUAUGCACGUUUUUUCCUUUCUCGCGGUAUAUCUUCUACGGUCGCUUCUACUUGAUUAUCAAAUAGGUCUUGAUAAUAUUUGUCAAAUUCAUCAUCAUUAUUAGAGGUAUAAUGAUAAUGAAAAUUGUUUGAUGAGGAAGCCAUAAUAGAAAUAAGAAGUUUAUUAUAAGGAUAAAAAGAAAGAGAUUUAUCGAAAUUAGAAAUUUAUUUAGAAAAAGGAAAUUUAUAUAGAAUUUUGGAAGUUUUUAAAGAGAAUUAAAAAGAAAUAUUACAAGUUAUUAAACAAGAUAUAACUUGUUCAAUGGUUAUGUUUGACAAAGAUAAUAUUUGAAAGAAAUGAGAUUUUGGUGAGAGACAAUGAGAGUUUAUAUUUUUAGCCAAAUGAAGAGGCCGAGAGAGUAGAAAGAUUGUUAAGUUGUGAAAGAAUAAUGUAACAAUCGGACAUAUAUAGAAGGUGUUAAAGUUGACAUGUGAAUGAUAUUGAAGUUAAAGGUAUGCAAUAGUUAACAUGUGAACAACAAUACGACACAUCCAAAAACAUGUGAACAUCAAUACGACAAUAUUAUAAAGUUCUGAACAACUGAAAACCAACAAUAGUUUGAACUUGUGAAUAAAAAAACAACAAUACUAUUAGACUUGUGAUUACAAUAAUCAAAGUUACAUGUCGGUACUAAAAAUUUAAAGUCUCGAUCAUCACUGGCACCAUAUGACAACCAUUGAUACCAUUGAUAUAAUAACACACAUUACACCAACAACCAUGUUAAAGUUUAGUCUCCUACUCUGCAAGUCUAACAUGUCCUGGUGAAGAUUCAGAAGCUUCUCUUCAAGUAUACUCUCUGUUUCUUUAUGCUGUCUCGCUCUUUCUCUCAUUUCUUCCAUGACAGCUACAUCCCACCAUUUGUGUACAUGCAUCUCUCCAUCUUCUACAUUUUCACAAGUGAAGUACCUGAAAAAUCAAACAUGUGGAGGAUAAAAACAAACAGUUAAAGACUACUAUCAAAAGACAGAGUUGGAAGAGGUCUUAACAUAAGUAAAUGAAAACCAAAUGAAGCACUUGAAGCUUACUUUCUACCCGGGUCAUUCCUUGUGUAAGAUGUAUGAAGCAGAGGCUGGCCUCCACAGUAACACUUUGUAGGGAACCCAAUCUCAAUCUCCUCUUCAAUCCUGCGAGCUAAGUUAAAUGCACUAUUAGCUUCAUCCAUGACAAUGUAAGCGUCUGUCUCCCUAUCCACGGUGUCUUCUGUGUAGUGGUCACUCUCGGAAUCCUGUGAGUAGCUGUAGUCGUGCCCCAUUGAUCACCUGAAAAUGGACCAAAACCCACAUAGUUCCAGACGAUACAGACAAAAAGAUAUCACAUAAUAACAGACAACCAUCAGAAGUUUACUCAGACAACAUUACUCAGACAAGUUUACUCAUGGUUAUGAAACUGAGCAAGUUUAUUCCAACAAGUUUACUCAGGAUUAGUUUAUUCAGAUAUGCAACAAGUUUACUCAGACAAGUUUACUCAUCAAGUCAGAUAUGCAGCAAGUAUACUAAGAAACUAACACAGGUUUCAUCUAAGAUUAAUAAUCUGAGACAAUUAUCAAACAGAUGAGACAAAUAUGACACAGUGAAUAGCAAUCACAAAUAUUAUACAAGCUACAAGUUCAAAUAUGAGACAAGUCAAUAGCAGUCACAAGUCAAUAUGAGACAAGUCAAUAGCAAUCACAAGUCACAAGUGAUUCAUUAAUAUAUAUUACACAAUGAUACAACAGACAUAGAUAUCACACACAUUAUUAUACAAGGCCCGAACUACAUAGUAGACAUACUAAACAAUAAUACAACUUAUUAGACNNNNNNNNNNNNNNNNNNNNNNNNNNNNNNNNNNNNNNNNNNNNNNNNNNNNNNNNNNNNNNNNNNNNNNNNNNNNNNNNNNNNNNNNNNNNNNNNNNNNGAGAACUGAUACACACACAGAAAUGAAAGAUUAUAAGCUCCUUAGAAUAAUUCUGCCAUCAGCUUCUUCUUAAGUUUGACUUCAUCUUCAUCUAGUGGAAUCGUCUUGGCAAUGAGGGUGUCUAGGAUGCUCAUCUUCUGGAGUACUUUCUUUGCCUCAUUGUCUUGCUGUUUAUUCUCCCACAGGUCCGGAUAGUCUCCAGAAGGUGAUACCUUCUCUUUUCCUUUGAACCUUCUCCCUUUCAUAGCCUUAACCCCAGGAGGCCUGCUCUCAUGGACAGUUCCAACUGAUCCCCCUUCGGAUGGAUGAGCAACCUCAGCCUUUCUCUUCUUGCUUGAAGUGUUGCUUGUGGGAUUCAUUAACCCUAAACUACACCACUUUUGUUCAUUCUUCAGCUCAACCCAACAAUGCUCUAGUGUAAAUUUCUUGAGAUGAAGAGUCUUAUAAAUGUGAUGUGCAUUCUUAAGAAUGUCAACAUCAUUCAUCCCUGAAGCCUUUUCAGCCUCUGCAGAAGCAAAUGCUCCACAGAAGUGGCUUACUUCUUUACUUAUUCUUCCCCACCUUUGCUUGCAGUGGUCAGGAAGCCGUGGUUCUCCCCCAUUCAGCACAUGUUCACUCGCAGCAUAAUACUCUGAAAUCCGUUUCCAAAACGUCCCUGACCUUUGAUCGUUUCCAACUAUCACAUCUUUUGAUGUGCUUAACCACCCGCUUAUCAACACAACAUCAUCAAGGCUGUUCCAUUGCCUUCUCUCCCUAGUACAUGUUGGUGUGCCUUGACCUUGAGGUGGAGGUUGAGUCUGAGGCUGGCUAAAAGAAGAGAAAUGGUUGGCUGGAGAUGCAGCUCCAUGACUCUCUUGGUGGUUAAUACCAGGGAAUUGACUCCCUUGAGAAGAGGCAGUUUCAGGCUGUUGCUGGUUAUGACCCGGGUUUUGGCUGCCUUGUGGAGAGCCAAAGUUUAGAUUUGCAGAGAAGCUGUCAUAAGGAAAGUUUCUAAGGCUAAAGUAACUGGGAGAUUGACCAUAUGGAUUAUGAUUUGAAUCCAUAUGGUGAUAGAUGAGAGAUGGAAGAAGAGGCAGAACAGAAGGGAAAGAAGUUGGUACAAGAGAGAUGAAAGAAGAAGGGAAAGAAGAGAGUGAUGAAAGAAGAAGGGAAAGAAGAGAGAGAUGAAAGAAGAGAAAGGAUCAAAUCGCAAAAGGAAUAAGAAAUGAAAGCUGGAAAUUCAAAACAGAUCAUAAAGAGAAUUUUGGGUGGAUAUAGUAAAUACAAAGCUAACACUUACCUAUAUCUAUCAAAUCAGAGUCAACUCUCAAAGAAACAGAAUAGUAAUCUUUGUAAGUAAAGAUUGCUUUCUAGUUAUCAAAAGAAUAAAUAAAUGUUCUUACAUUUACAACUUAAUGUAAAUACUGAUCUUGUUGUAACAAGAUCAGAGAUUCAUACUUACCAUUUAAAUAUUUUUAAAGUACAAGACUAGCAUUGAAAGACUUUUAUGACACAAUUCUGAGAGAUUUACAACACUACCAGACACAUUAAUGAACAUAGAGUACAUAAGCUAGACAAUUCAUUUUCGGGUCAUUAAUACACUGUGAAAAGUAUUUCACCAACAUAGAUACUACACAGUAUUAAACAGGAACUACAUGUUUCUACACACUAACUAACAUCAUCCCAUUUACAUACUAUCACAUUCAGAAGCAAUAAAGAAACAACAAGUAGAAGAAGAUCAAUACACAAAGCAAGUUUACACUUCAAUAAACAGUUUUACUUGAUGCCAACAAUUAACAAUUCAUUUGACAGCCAUUAAAACAGGUUCAAUACAGACAAACCAAUACAUGACUAGUUAACAAACCCUAAUUAACAGAGACAACAACAAUAUUAGCCAAGCAAUAAGCAGGAAGCAGAUGAACAUACAUAAGCAAUUAACAAACACCAAGUACAAGAAGAUCACACACAAAGCGAGUAUACACUUCAAUAAACAGGUUUACUUUAUGCCAACAAUUCACAAUUCAUUUGACAGCCAUUAAAACAGAUUCAAUACAAUAACACAAUACAUGACUCGUUAACAACCCCUAAUUAACAGAGACAACAACAAUAUUAGCCAAGCAAUAAGCUGGAAGCAGAUGAACAUACAUAAGCAAUUAACAAACACCAUCUACGAGAAGAUCACACACAAAGCGAGUAUACACUUCAAUAAACAGGUUUACUUUAUGCCAACAAUUCACAAUUCAUUUGACAGCCAUUAAAACAGAUUCAAUACAAUAACACAAUACAUGACUCGUUAACAACCCCUAAUUAACAGAGACAACAACAAUAUUAGCCAAGCAAUAAGCUGGAAGCAGAUGAACAUACAUAAGCAAUUAACAAACACCAUCUACGAGAAGAUCACACACAAAGCGAGUAUACACUUCAAUAAACAGGUUUACUUUAUGCCAACAAUUCACAAUUCAUUUGACAGCCAUUAAAACAAAUUCAAUACAAUAACCUAAUCGCAUUCUGAUUCACAUCUAUUGCAUGCAAAGUUAAGAACAUGGAUUAUGUCACAUACCUCUAACUUUGUACUUAAGAUCCUGAUUAUGAUCGGAAUCCGUCUUUGCAACCUUCAGACUCACCUUCAAACCUCAGGAAAAAUCAAUAAACAAGAGUUAAUUUCACAUAAUAGUUAUAACCCAUCAACGAACUCGAGAUAACAAGAGUUAAUUCGAUCCCUAGAACUUCAAAACAUAAUAAGAUAGAAGAGACUUCAAUGUACCUCGCUUGAAUCGAUUUUGGGAAGGUGAGAGAUCUUCGAAGAUACCCUCGAUGAUGAAUCUUUAGUAGAUCUACAACAUGGUGAUGAGGAGGAGACACACCGGAAGGAGAUUGAAGGUCAGAAAGAACGGCGAACUCGGCAAGACCAGACGGAGAAGAAGAAGAUGAGAACGGCGGCGGAUUCGUCAAAAUCGCCGUGUAGGGUUCGAGAGAGACCGAGACCGGAAGGAGAUCGACACUCAGAAGACACGGCGAAAUCGUCAAGACCAGACGGAGAAGAAGAAUAUGAGAUUGACUCUCAAUCGACAAAAUCGCCCGCUAGGGUUCCACAGAGAACACGACUCGAAUUUGGGGUUUUUCGUUUUUUCCGACAAAUGAGAAAAGAAAAAACUUAUUUCUUUACCUAAAAAUGGAACCAAUCAUAUUCGCCCACGUGGCCUAAGACUCGGAUACAAUCGAGUCUUCCCGAGCAUACGGAUGGGUCUUCCAAUUUAACUGUUUCCCUUUUAAUCCAAUAAACAAAUGCCCGAAGGCCCGAACGGAUGGCCCGUUAAUGUUGCUCUAAUGUAUUCAAACUGUUCAUAAUAUCAUAUUCUACAGUCUUCUCCACGACCUAUCCACAAACAUUACAAUAUACAUAUCAUAUGCACAUACCCACACAUGUGGACUUGUGCUCCCCCAAUAAAAUACUGUGUACAAUCGAAUUUUCAAUUAUUAUGUAACAAUAUAUACUGUAUAUAUAUUUUCAUUUAUGUAAAAGAAAAAAAGUUAUUGUUCUAGUUCUUUUUUUCUUUGUUUUUUUUCGAGAAAAAAAUGUGUUAUGUUUGGUUUAUUUUUUUUUAAUGAACGUUAAAUUUAGUCAACCAAAAAACCAAAAAACCAAAAAACCAUCCUUAACCAAAGUGUUAAAUUUUUAAUAAAGUUUGUGUUGGAGAAAUUGAAAUUAGAGAACUUAGUUUCUUAGUUCAAACUAGAUCCGAAGACCAUCUUCAAGCUUGUGAGGAUAGUGACGUUUGAUCGAAGAAGUUUUCUUACGAACCAACUAUGAACACGAACAAGAUUCAAAACAAGUUUGCAGCUCAAAAUGACAUAACUCCGUUAGCAGGCCGUAGAACACCAAAGCCCAAUCCAAGCCCAAUACGUGAAGCCUCAAUUGAACACGCGCCAAAGUCUGUCGUUCAACAUCUCUCUGCAAAUAAACCAAAAAGCAGAGAUGUUGCAGGUCGUACAGAAGUAAAGACAAAGAACAGAUUUGAAGUGCUAAACUCAAGUGAUGGAGAUGCUGACACGUAAGAGACAAAGAGAACAAUCUAGAGACUAGGUUAAACAUCUUUGUAUCUCUAUAUAAGAGCAAUGUUCUCUGUAAUGUGGUUUUAAGGAUUGAGAAAUAAAAAAGAAACAAUCUUUCAAUUUCAGUUUACACUUUCAUGGUAUCAGAGCCAUGGACACUUUCAUGGUAUCAGAGCCAUGGACACUUCCAUGGAUCUCUAUUCGUCACCUUCUCUACACAUCUCCAACUGUGUCACCAUAAAACUCACAGAACAAAACUAUAUCAUCUGGAAGUCUCAGUUUGAGUCAUUCCUGCGUACUCAAGGUCUGCUCGGUUUCGUCAAUGGCGCCACUCCUGCUCCUCAGGCAACGAUUCCUAUCCGCAACAAAAAUGACGGGAACGUAGAAGACAUCUCCAACCCAGAUUUUGAAAGCUGGUCUAGAUCCGAUCAAGUUGUGAAGGCAUGGCUUCUUGGAUCCAUGAGUGAAAAUGUGCUGCGACUCGUCAUUGGCUCCACAACUGCCCUGGAGGUAUGGGAAACGUUAAUCUCUCACUUCAAUCGCACUUCCUCCUCUAGGUUAUUUGAACUUCAGAGACGUCUUCAAAAUGCUGAAAAGUUAGAUAAGAACAUGUCAGAAUAUCUUAGAGGAAUCAAAGAUAUUUGUGAUCAGUUAGCUUCUAUAGGGGAUCCGGUUAGUGAAAAGAUGAAAAUUUUUGCAGCUUUAAGAGGUUUAAGUCGUGAUUAUGAACCUAUUAUCACUGUGAUUGAAGACUCUAUGGAUCGCAGUCCUGCUCCAACUUAUGAUAAUGUGAUCUCCCGUUUGACUGGUUAUGAAGAUCGAUUGCAAAGUUACUCCACUACCUCUGAAGUUUCUCCUCAUUUGGCCUUUAACACCGUCAAAGCCUCAAACUUUCAGACAAGGGGAAGAGGAAACAUGGGUAGAGGAAGAGGAAACUACUCAACAAGGGGAAGAGGAUUUCACCAACAGUUCUCCUCCAACAGCUCAUCCAGCAAAAGUUCCAACUCCACCGAACGUCCAACAUGUCAGAUAUGUGGUAAAAGAGGUCAUCAUGCUCUUCAUUGUUGGUACAUGUUUGAUGACGGUUAUCAGGCCUCUGAGAACACAGCUGCAGCUUUCUCUGCUCUGCACAUAACAGAUGUGACUGAUGAUGGUAGUUGGUAUCCGGAUUCUGCAGCUACAGCACACAUCACAAGUAGUCCUCAACGACUUCAGCAAGCUCAACCAUAUUAUGGCAAUGAUACUGUUAUGGCCAGUGAUGGAAACUUUCUUCCCAUUACUCACAUUGGCUCAGCUAAGCUUCCUUCAACAUCAGGUAACCUUCCACUUUAUGAUGUUUUGGUUUGCCCUGAAAUUGCUAAGUCACUGCUCUCAGUUUCUAAAAUGACUAAAGACUAUCCAUGCUCUUUUACAUUUGACUCUGAUGAUGUUGUUAUUAAGGACAAGGCAACACGCCAAGUUCUGACAAAGGGAAAGGAAAGUGAUGGUCUUUACAGAUUGGAGAACCAACAGUACAGGGUGUUCUAUUCAAAUAGACAAGUCAAAACCAGUGAUGAAGUGUGGCAUCAAAGGCUAGGACAUCCUCAUGCUCAAGUUCUCCAACUGCUCUCUGCAAAUAAGGCAAUUCAAGUUAAUAAAAGUACCAGCCAGGUGUGUGAAUCAUGUCAGCUUGGGAAGAGUUUAAGAUUGCCAUUUAAUUCUUCAAACUUUGUAGCUUCUAGACCUCUAGAGAGAGUUCACUGUGAUCUCUGGGGUCCUUCUCCUGUUUCUUCUAUUCAAGGAUUCAGAUUUUAUGCAGUCUUUAUAGACAACUACUCCAUAUAUUGUUGGUUCUAUCCAUUAAAAAGAAAAUCUGAUUUCUGUUCAAUAUUCAUCAAGUUCCAGCUUCUUGUUGAAAAUCUCUAGCAACACAAAAUUGCAAUUUUUCAGUCUGAUGGUGGUGGUGAAUUUAUAAGUCAAAGAUUUCUCAACCAUCUUCAAGAGUCUGGUAUUCAACAUUACAUUUCAUGCCCUCAUACUCCUCAGCAGAAUGGUCUUGCAGAAAGAAAACAUAGGCAGUUAACAGAAAUGGCUCUCUCUCUGAUGUUUCAAAGUCAUACUCCUCAAAGCUUCUGGGUUAAAGCCUAUUUCACUGCCAAUUUUCUUUGUAAUCUCCUUCCAACAAGUGCUUUAACUACAAAAUCAAGCCCUUAUGAAGCUCUUCAUGGAGAUCCUCCAAAUUACUCAGCUCUAAGAGUUUUUGGUUGUGCUUGUUUUCCUACUCUCAGAGCAUAUGCUGCAAACAAGUUUGAUCCACGAUCUCUUAAGUGUAUCUUCUUGGGAUAUACUGAAAAAUACAAGGGCUACAGAUGUUACUACCCUCCUACAGGCCGAGUUUAUCUCAGUCGCCAUGUUAUAUUUGAUGAGAAAUCCUUCCCGUUUGCAAGUACUUAUCAGAACAGCGAGCAGUUUGCACCAACACCGUUGUAUACUGCUUGGCUCAAAGGUGUUGUCAGUCAUGUUCCACAUACAGAUCGUGAUUCUAAUUCGACAAUCCAAGCUCAAAGUACAACAUCUGCAGUUUCAGAACCAGAGAUUUCAGUCCCUGCAGUUUCUGAACCAGAAAAUUCAAAUGCUGCAGUUUCAACAUCUGCAGUUUCUGCAAUUUCUCAAGCUUCUGCUCCAACUCCUGAAAAUGUAACAAAUGCUGAAGUAACAAUGUCAGUUGGUGGUGACGAGUGUACUGGGUGUACGGCAAGCUCUGAUCUUGUUCCUAUAGGCAACAUCGCUCUUUCAUCAUCACCUAGCAUUGCUACUUCAGAUCAUCACGCAACAGGAGAAACUCAAGGUUCUACUCACCCGAUGACAACAAGAUCAAAAGAUGGAAUCUCUAAGCCUAAUCCAAGGUAUGCUCUUCUAGCUCACAAAGUUACUUACCAUAUGCCUACCACAGUUACUGAGGCAUUGAAAGACCCAAAAUGGACAGCAGCAAUGAACGAAGAGAUGGAAACAUGUAAAGAGACAAACACUUAUACUUUGGUUCCUUAUUCUCCUGAUAUGCAUGUCCUAGGGUCAAAAUGGAUCUUCAGAAUCAAGUUAAAUGCUGAUGGAUCUCUUGAUAAGUAUAGAGCUAGAUUAGUUGCUCAGGGUUUCAAACAAGAAGAGGGUAUUGAUUAUCUUGAAACAUACAGCCCUGUUGUCAGAACUGCAACUGUCAGAAGUGUUUUGCAUCUUGCCACCAUUUUUAACUGGGAAAUAAAACAAAUGGAUGUCAAGAAUGCUUUUCUACAUGGAGAUCUCACUGAAACAGUCUACAUGAAGCAACCAGCAGGAUUCAUCAAUAAAGAUUAUCCAGAUCAUGUAUGUUUACUGCACAAAUCCUUGUAUGGGCUCAAGCAAGCUCCAAGGGCAUGGUUUGAUAAAUUUAGCAAUUUUUUGCUUGAAUUUGGUUUUAUCUGCAGCAUUCCAGACCCUUCUCUAUUUGUGUGUGUAAAAGGCAAAGAUGUAAUCAUGCUACUAUUAUAUGUUGAUGACAUGGUCAUAACUGGGAAUUCUUCUUCUUUGCUAGCUUCAUUGCUCAGUGAGCUCAACAAACGAUUCAAAAUGAAAGAUCUGGGACAGCUACAUUAUUUUCUGGGAAUACAAGCUCAUUUUCAUCAAGACGGUUUGUUUUUAUCUCAACAAAAAUAUGCAGAAGAUCUGCUAGUUACUGCAGCAAUGUCAACAUGUGCUUCAGUUUCUACACCUCUGCCACAGCAGCUUGAUAAUACUCCUAACCAGUCUGUUCCUUUUGAAAAUCCAAAAUAUUUUCGAAGUUUGGCAGGAAAGCUUCAGUACCUGACUCUUACAAGACCAGACCUGCAAUUUUCUGUCAAUUAUGUGUGCCAAAAGAUGCAUGCUCCUACAGUUUCUGAUUUCCAGCUUCUAAAAAGGAUCCUAAGGUACAUUAAAGGCACCAUCACCAUGGGGAUUUCCUUCACAAAAUACACAAACUGCAAGAUCAGAGCCUUUAGUGACAGUGAUCAUGCCGGAUGUCAGGCUACUAGACGAUCUACAGGAGGAUUUUGUACCUUCUUAGGUGACAAUAUCAUCUCAUGGUCUUCAAGAAAACAGCCAACAGUUUCCAUAAGCUCAACGGAGGCAGAAUACAGAGUUAUGUCAGAUACAAGCUCUGAAAUUACUUGGCUGGUCAAUCUUCUUAAAAGCCUUGGUGUUCCACAAUAUGAGAAGCCAGAGCUUUUUUGUGAUAAUCUCUCUGCAGUCUAUCUCACAGCCAAUCCAAGCUUCCAUGCUCGUACCAAACACUUUGCUACUCACUACCACUAUGUUCGUGAACAAGUUGCCUUCGGUGAUUUGAUUGUUAAUCACAUCCCAGCUCAUCUCCAACUGGCUGAUAUCUUUACAAAGUCCUUACCAGAGGCUGCUUUUCAAGAUCUUCGGCUCAAACUCGGUGUUGAUGUUCCACCUACUCCAAGUUUGCGGGGGGGGGGGGGGGGAACACGAACAAGAUUCAAAACAAGUUUGCAACUCAAAACGACAUAACUCCGUUAGCAGGCCGUAGAACACCAAAGCCCAAUCCAAGCCCAAUACGUGAAGCAUCAAUUGAACACGCGCCAAAGUCUGUCGUUCAACAUCUCUCUGCAAAUAAACCAAAAAGCAGAGAUGUUGCAGGUCGUACAGAAGUAAAGACAAAGAACAGAUUUGAAGUGCUAAACUCAAGUGAUGGAAAUGCUGACACGUAAGAGACAAAGAGAACAAUCUAGAGACUAGGUUAAACAUCUUUGUAUCUCUAUAUAAGAGCAAUGUUCUCUGUAAUGUGGUUUUAAGUAUUGAGAAAUAAAAAAGAAACAAUCUUUCAAUUUCAGUUUACACUUUCACCAACAUGUCCAUGAACUUAAUUAGUUGGUUUAAUUUCGGCUUUCGUAUAAACAAAAGUUUCCCUAGUAAUAAUAGCACGAAUGAUUUCUCUAUAAAUCAUAGUUUAGGUUUAAGAUGUUGAUAUUUCUGUUAUAUAAACUUACAAUUGCAAUUUCCGAAAUUAUGCUGCAUGAGCUAUGAGUUUCUUGUGAUAUAUUGUUUUAUUUUGUUUUAUUUUUUCUUUUUUCAACUCUCUAUCUUCAUUUCACAUUAGAUGACAAUGUUUUCUAAUAUAUAUAAAAUUUAUUGCUUGUUGAGAUUGCUAGUUUCUUGAGAUUGUUCACAUGCAGUUCUCUUUUCUUUUUUUUGGGAAUGAAAAAUGUCUCAUUCAGAGCUAAAACGAAAGUUGUCAUAUAUAAAAAAACACGUCUUUUCCAUCGUUGGAGUGGUUAAAUGAUUCAAGAACUACUGUUUUAUUACUACUUUGGACCAUAACAAAAUAAUACAUAUCAUUCGAAAUUUCGAAUCAAUAAAAUAAAAGUCGAAUUUAGUAAGGUAUUAUUAUACUACUAGAGAGUGUAUAUAUCCAAAAGAAAAAAAAGAGCUUUCAGAGUAUCCGACACCCACGUGCAAGGGGAAUGAAUAAAGUCAUAAUAAAUAUUUUCUCUCUUUUUAAAGACUCACUCUCACAUUCAUUCGCAUCAUUGUCACCUUUCUUUUUUAUUUCUUCAAUUUUUUUUCACAUUUGAAUUGCAUUAUUGUAACUCUAUUGAAAUACUUCUCCCCCCCACAGGCCACAACAUUAUUAUACUAGGUUAUUUUAUAACGUAACAAAAACAUAAUAGAGUUAUUCGACAAAAUGUGUAAAGGAUGAUAAAUUGUUAUUGUAAAACUUGCAAAUUUAUUCAACAAUUAUUAAUCUAUGAGAGCCUAAUCUAUUAUUGAUUUUUUUCUGUCAGAGUGUUGAAUGCUAAAGAUUGACUUGUGAGUAAAUGACUGAUGGGUCGAAACCAGAACUAAAGCUUUUUUUUUUUUUUCUGGAAUAUGAUUGCACUAACUUUAAUAAGGCAUUUAUUUCUUUAAAGGAUAAAGAAUAAGAGAGGAAAUACUAGUAGAUAAUAAUUAAAUUAUAGAAAAGUCCUUAAUAAGAGAAGAAGAAGAAGUGAGAGACAGCGAAUGAAAAGAAAAGGUGGUAAGCUCAUGGGAUGUUUUUAGGCUUUGGCUCAAUAAUUUCGAUACUUUUGUUAUGAUUUUGUUCCAUAUUCCUUUUUUUCAUUUUAAUUCGAUGUGAAAGCUUAUCUAUUUAUCUACUCUUCGUUUAUUUAUUGUAUAAAGCGAUGAGAUGGAAGAGAGUUUGAAAAAAAGAUGAUGAUGUUUUCAUACAAUCUUAACAGUAAACACUUCUUUUGGCUAUCAAUGUUUGGAGCAGCGUUUAAUGCGAUAUCAUCCGACAUAACUCAUAAACACAUAAUAAUAGAUUAGAAAAUCUAAAGAUAAUGUAUAUGAUUUCAAAACUUUUAUUUUCAUAUUAAUUGGGUUGAAAAAGAUUUGACUCUGCGAUAUAAUUUAGAGUUAGAUAUCGAAUGGAUGUGUUUGUGUGUUUUAGUAUGUUUUAUAAACUUAAUACGAAUGUACAAUAAUUAUUUUAAUAUUCAAAAUUAGAGCAAUAGUUGGCAAGAACCUUUUUUUUUUUUUUUGAAAUAGAUGAAAUGUGAGAUUAAAAAAAAAAUACUUAAAUACCUAAAUAAUAAUAACAAAAAUUGCUGAACAUAACAGAUUUGUAAAUUACAAUAAACUUACUCAAAAUUAUGUAAAAGUUUAUCUGAAACUGAUUCUUAUUAAAUAAUUAUGAAUAGUAAUCCAAUAACAAAUACUUAAUAGAACAAAAGAAAACCAAUGGUUUGACUAGAAAUUGAUUAGGAACAAAAUAUUUAGUUGAUAUUGAUAUGAAAAUGUAUCGACUCAUAAAAUAUUAAUAUGAAAAUGUAUCGUCUCAUAAAAUUAAAAUAUUCAUAUGUGAGCUAAAAAUAUUAAAAAUUUUACUUAGAUUAAUAAUUGAUUUAGGAAUAAAUCUCACAAAUCUAAUUUUUAAGACUAAUUCACCUGUUCUAUUUUUCAGUAAUAUUUUACCAGGUCAGUAAAUUUAACAAUUAUAUCAUUUUUUGUCAACAAAAUAGGUACAAAAUGCGAAUUAAUCUACUGUAAAAAAAAUGCGAAUUAAUUAAUUGGUCAACAAAACAAUUUUUUUUACCAUGUAUUUAGUCAAUAAAAUGCAUUAUGAGGAUUAUAAUUUGUGCAAUGACAUCACAACAAUACCAAAAAUAAUACAGGAGUAAAUAGUAUUAUAUCUAAUCAAAUGAUAACAUUCCCUUUUAGCACAACUACAAGAACAGAAAGUUUUAUCCGAAUAGUAUUUAUUUCUAAUUAUUGGAAUCGACGUCAUUAAUGUUUUUUUAAAAAAAAAUCUCAUAAUACAAAUCUAAAAUGAAAAGAUUCAUAUUCUAAUUUAUUUUAAUUUCCAAUUACUGUAUUUUUCCUCUUGUCCCCUAUAGGCGUUAGUUACUAGUAUUAAUUGUCCACUCCUCGCGGAAGUGUAACACACACAUUCCUCGCUCUAUCUCUCUCUCUCUCUCAAAUCACUUGCAAAGACCAAGAUCUUCCACUUCCUCUUCUUCUUCUUCUUUCUUCUUCUUGACUUGUUCCAGUACUAGACUUGGUGUUUUUGAUCACAUUCAAGAAAUGGAGAACCCUCCGGAUCAAACAGAAGCUAAGCAAAUCCAACCCAAUGGAGGCAAAAGAACCAAGGGUGGAAUCAUCACUAUGCCUUUCAUCAUAGGUACUAGUAGCAAAUACAUUUUCACAAAAUCUUUAACUCUCUCUUUGCUUUUUUUGGGUCUGAUUCUUCAUAAUUAAGAUCGAUCUCUAAUUGUGUUUUGUGAUGGUGGUGAAGCAAACGAGGCGUUCGAGAAAGUGGCGAGUUAUGGACUAUUACCAAACAUGAUUCUGUACUUGAUCAGAGAUUACAGGUUUGGAGUGGCCAAAGGAACAAAUGUGCUCUACAUGUGGUCUGCUGCAUCAAACUUCACACCUCUCUUGGGUGCUUUCCUCUCUGAUUCCUAUCUAGGUCGCUUCCUCACCAUCUCCAUUGCUUCUCUCUCCAGUUUCUUGGUAAAUCCUUCAUCUCUUCUUCUUAUACCAAACCGGUUUAAACUUCCUUUGAUGGUAAAUUUUGGUUUGAAAUUUUCGGUUUAGCUUUCCACUACUUGUCAUUAAGACUGAUAAGAAGAAUCUGUAACUGAUGAUUUUGGAGAACUGACAACUCUUUUUAAAAGUGUUUUUUUACUAUAUACUUUUUACGUUAUAUCAUAUUUUAUUGUCUAUAUGAAAAAUAUAUUUUUAUAUUAUCUAAUAUAAGUUUAGAAUUUUAUAUUUUUACAACAUCUAGAUAAUGAAUUUAUUGAAGUAUAGUGGUACGAGGUUUUUUAUUUGUUAAUUUUUAUAACCAAACCAAAAAGGAAAAUAUUGAAUAUUUGAACAUAAAGUUAAUAUUGGACCAGAAUAAUUUAAUUUCCGACAUAUUCGUCGUUGAUGUACCAUUGCAUAGGUUGUUUCUUUAUUCAUAUCGCCAUAUUAUAUAGUAUUCAAUUAAAAUAUAUAUGAAUCUAGAAUACAUUAAACAGUAAUAAUAUUGUACAGUUUAAUUUAGUAAUUUCACGCGUUGCAUGUGACUUGUGAGUUGUGUGAGACAUUGCUGCAUUAUUUGUUUUCUUAUUAUGUUUUGUGUUAUUACACUAAAAAAGUCAUUUUCGAAUUUAUUUCCUAGCAUGGCAGUUCCAUGUGUUCUGAGUUUUCUGAUAUUUUUUCUUUCUAAAAAGAUAUUACUAAUUCAAAAUGUCCUUUGGCAAGUUGUGUGAGUGACCACAAAUCAAAACUAUAAUUUCUGAUGUGACAAUAUUCCUUUUUUAAGUAUACUGGAGAUAUAUUUAAAAAAAAAGUUCGAUUGCUUUGUUUCAUAAAUAAAGAAAUAUUAUUAGCGUCGUAAAAAUACUACUUUUAUUCUAUGUUUCAUUUUAACUUAGAUGGAAUGAGACCACAAAACAUAUUUCUCGAUUUAAGUCUAUUUAAACGGGAUUAGACACAAUUCAUAAAGGCCACAGCAUGAGACUUUGAAUUAUUUUGGUUAUGGGGCCAAGCUUGAUUGUUUGUAGGCUAUAUAGCAUAGAGCUGUUGUUUUGGUAGGCUUAAGCAAUUUUUGAACCGUGUACAUACUUUUUACAACUUGUCCGAUUCAAAUCGACACUAAUCUUAAUUUGAUUUUAUUCAUCCACUUGAUAAAAACCAUAUGUUUACAUUGCGUUACAUGAUUGAUUUGACCUGCUGGUACAAUUAUUCAUCGCAAUCAACUUUCUUAUUAUAAUUUUUGGUAGGGUUAAUGACAUAUGACUUAACAUUCGACCUACCAACGUGUGCUCAUGGCCACGGUUUUUGUUGCAUUGGAUUUUUCUUCUUGGAAGUUCUUAUCUCAUUAUAUAACACGACAUGAUGUUUGUUUGCUUAACGUCACGACAUAUAUGUAAUGUUUUGUUAGCGUUCCAUUAGCUCAAACUAAUCCGGUUCAGUUAAUUAAUGAUCAUAUUGUUGAAUCAUACCACAGGGAAUGGUGCUUUUAUGGUUAACUGCAAUGUUACCACAAGUGAAGCCAUCUCCUUGCGAUCCCACAGCAGCUGGAAGCCAUUGUGGAUCAGCAACCGCGUCUCAGCUGGCUCUUUUGUACUCCGCAUUUGCCCUUAUCUCGAUCGGGUCAGGUGGGAUUAGACCAUGUUCCUUAGCCUUUGGAGCUGACCAACUAGACAACAAAGAGAACCCAAAGAACGAAAGAGUUCUCGAGAGUUUCUUUGGUUGGUACUAUGCUUCAUCAGCUGUGGCUGUUCUCAUCGCGUUCACGGGGAUUGUAUACAUUCAGGAGCAUCUCGGGUGGAAAAUUGGGUUUGGAGUGCCUGCGCUCCUCAUGUUGGUCGCUUCUUUGCUAUUCGUUCUCGCGUCUCCUCUCUAUGUUACACGCGGUGUGACCAAGAGUCUCUUCACUGGUUUAGCUCAAGUGGUUGUUGCAGCUUACAAGAAGAGGAAGCUAAGUUUACCAGAUCAUCAUGACUCCGUUGAUUGUUACUAUCACAUGAAAGAUUCUGAAAUCAAAGCUCCAAGUCAAAAGUUAAGGUAUUAAUACUACUGUAUAUACUUAUAUUUCUUCAAGUCUCGUUUUUUAAUUACUUUACAACCAAGAAAGACCAUGCUCUCUUAAUUAGGUUUCAAGCAAAGCUUGUUAUACUAGAAACAUGAUCAAUGCACUUUUUACUUUCUCUUGAUUGGGGUUUGAACAAAUCUUGUUAUACAAGCAACAUAACACUCUCUCUUUUCUUGCAUACUAUAUUUUGAUUAGGUUUUUGAAAAAACCCUGUAAUAAUAGAAACAUGAUCUACUGUUUUUUCCCCUUCUAAAUUACGUUUUUGAACAAAGCUUUGUUAUAAAAGAAACAUAUUUGAGGUGAUUUUGAUUUUCUUUUGUAUAGGUUUCUGAACAAAGCUUGUUUGAUAAGUAACCGUGAGGAAGAGAUUGGGUCAGAUGGGUUUGCUUUGAAUCCAUGGAGGCUGUGCAUAACAGACAAAGUAGAGGAGCUUAAGGCAUUGAUCAAAGUUAUACCGAUAUGGUCCACAGGCAUAAUGAUGUCCAUAAACACUAGCCAAAGUACGUUUCAGGUGCUACAAGCGACUUCCAUGGACAGGCGUCUAAGCAGGCAUGGUUCAAGCUUUCAAGUUCCAGCUGGAUCAUUCGGUAUGUUCACAAUCAUAGCUCUCGCCACGUGGGUGGUUCUUUAUGACCGUGCAGUUCUCCCAUUAGCUUCAAAGAUCCGAGGCAGACCAUUUCGACUCAGCGUUAAACUAAGAAUGGGAUUAGGGUUAUUCAUGUCGUUCUUAGCUAUGGCGGUUUCUGCAAUGGUUGAGAGUUUCAGAAGGAACAAAGCUAUAAGCCAAGGGUAUGGAAACAAUCCCAAUGCUGUAGUAGACAUCUCAGCUAUGUGGCUAGUGCCACAAUAUGUGCUACAUGGACUAGCAGAGGCUCUUACCGCAAUAGGACAGACUGAGUUUUUCUACACCGAGUUUCCUAAAAGCAUGUCUAGCAUUGCGGCUUCUCUCUUCGGUCUAGGAAUGGCUGUGGCUAGUCUAUUGGCAAGCGUGGUCCUGAAUGCAGUCAAUGAACUAACCUCAAGAAAUGGUAAAGAGAGUUGGGUUUCAGACAACAUUAACAAAGGUCAUUACAACUAUUACUAUUGGGUACUCGCGAUAAUGAGCUUCGUCAAUGUGAUAUACUACGUGAUAUGUAGCUGGUCGUAUGGUCCUUUGGUAGACCAGGUGAGGAAUGGUAGAGUUAAUGGUGUGAGAGAGGAAGAGGAGUUGCUUGAUAUUGUUGGGAAAGGCUACGAGAAGGAAGAUUUAAGUGCUGUUACUAAAGCCAAUUAAAGUUUCAUAGGUCAUGCAUGGCUUGUUGUACUUUGUCUAUAAAGGAAGCAAGAAACUAUAGGAAAUUAUAUUUUAUUGCAUUGGUGUGUGGUGUUAUUAAGUGUUAAAUUAAGUUCUAUGUAGAUUUGUAAUUAGAUUGAAUAUUAUGUGUUUGUGUUUUAAUUAGGGAGUUUUUUUUUAUUGAUGAAAAGGUCAAUGGUUUUUGGCAGUGUAUACAAGCCAAGUGUUUGUUGUAUUUUUUUUUUUUUUUGUGUGUGUUAAAUUCAUGGAGUCCUUUGUAUAUACACAAUUAGUUGUUGGUUUGGCUUCUUAUAUUCAAAAGGAAAAUGAAUUUAUUGUUGAAGCCUGUAGAUCUUAAUUGUAGAGAACAAAAAAACAAAAAUUUAAGUGAUCAUCAUGGAAAUGUAGUAGUCUAACAAAAAUGGGCUAUUAAACGAAUUUAUAAUGAAAAUUAUUAAAAACGUAAGACUAAUUUUAUUACAUAGCCAUGCAUAUUUUGAUGUAUAAAGUAUAAACCAAACACUACGGUCUUAUAGAAGUUGAUUAAAAAAAUUAUAGCUUUCUUAUUUUUAUUUUUUGAAACUAAUUGUAAAUGAUGACGAUUAUUUUCUUAUCUGAUCAAAUUUAACGAACUUGAUUAUUAUUUUUUAAUCUCGUUUUUAAACUAUUUUCAUGUUCAAAAGUUAAACUAGUUUUGGUUCAAUAUGGGUCUAUUACUAUAUUUCAGAGUCAACAUCAAUUUUCAAAAGAUUUUGGACAAGAUACCAUAAGAAUGCUUCACCACAUAUCUAGAAUCAAUAAAGACGUAACAUAUAUUUAACAUUGAUGUAUAUGUAAGAGUACUAACACAUUAACAUUGAUGUAACAUUGAUGUAAUAGUCUAACAUUGAUGUAAUGUCCAAACACAUUAUAUAUCUUACAUACCACUUGCAGUUGUAUGCAUAGGACAUGGUUCAUAUAUUGGGUAUUGGGUAAAUAUUGGAUUUGGUUGGAGCCGCCAUUAAAGCUUGCUAACUUGAUCGACACCAUUGUGUUUGACAUCUAGGUUCAUUGGUGUCGCCAAUAGCCUCAUCCAUAAUCUACCUGUGGCUAUGAGUUCUUCAUCGUAAUCUCUUCGAAUCUCAAUUGUUGCUGAGUUUAGAUCUUCCCUCUUACCUACUAAUCUUGCUUCCAUCUUUACUUCUUCCUAGAUUUGUCAUCACGUUAAAUAUGUGUUUAUAUGACAUGUGAUUUUGACUAGCAACUAAAAGACAAAGACAAAACGAUACUCAUGUUUCUAUCAAAUUAGAUAUCAGUCCAUUAUAGUUUAAUAGACACAAACCAAAAAUUAAAUCAAAUUUGUUUUUUUCAAUUUGCAUAAGAAAAAAUUCAUUGAAACCGAAAUUAAUCUCUCUUUUUUUUUAAUCUUUUGAAUAAAAACAAAAAAUCCAAAACGCCAAGCCCGUCAUUAAAUAUAGUUUUGUACAUGUGUUUUCAUAUAGUAUAUCAUUAAAAUGUUAAUUAGUAUAAUAUGUAAAGUAAUGAAUCAAAAUAUUAGUAACGAUCAGAAAAGUCGAACUUGAAUCUUGGCGGUGGUCGAGUAAAAUGAAUAGUUGAGAUCAACUGAGGCAUGAGAUCCUCCAACUGAGUACACCGCGGUUGCUCCCAUCAACUCCAUUAGCGCACCUAUUGCUGCUGUGUGAAAAUUCCCAUCUUCAUUCUGAAUAUGAUACAAUACAACGUAACUCCAUUUAUUAGAACACCAAAAGUAUAUUUUUAUCAAAGAUUAAUGCAUGCAUGUAAUCAUUCACCCCAAAAAAAGAAGUGAAAAAAAUUACCAAAGCGUGAUGUGUAACGGUCAAUUUACACUGAACGAACCCUGUUGCAACAUGGAUGACUUGAAGACCUUCGAGGAUGAAACUGGGAAAGUAGGAAUGGCUUUUAUCCUUGGCUAGCUCUUCUAAGUACGUUCUCGUUUUGAUGAUGCAUGAAUCUUCCAUAUCUUUUAGUUUUUGGGAAUGAAGAGAAGCUUUUUGCUAUUUAAAUCAAACUAGGUGAUCAUUUUGUGCUGUCAUCAUAUAUAGUCCUGUGACUAUUUAUUGGCAACCCUACAUAGAAAAUAUGUGGACAUGAUACAAAGACACAAACUUUGGGAUACCGAAUCCAACUGUACGCCAAACUUCAAAAGCUUUUGUCUUUCAAUUUAUUUCGAUAGUUUUAGUAUAUAUAUAUAGAGGAUUACAUCUAGGAUUUUGGUUGGCAAAUUCUUUCAAAUCCAUUUUUAUUUGUAUUUUUUUCUCGGAAGAUGCCCUUUUGGCAACACAAAAACUUCAAGGUUUACCAUGCAAUAAAGCGACGAAUUGAAUAGAGAAAAACAAAGUCAAGAUAUGGAUUCUCAAAACACUUGAACUCUCUCGGAAAUAUCCUUUUAUGAUUGUUUAACAUGACGAUUUGACUAAUUAGUAUGUGCAAGUAGAACCAUUGUAAAUAUAUUGGGAGCCAAAUUUUUCUCUCUUUAAAUAAGAUAUUAAAAUAUAUAUACCAUUGUACAGUUGUAUAUAUAUUUGAAGAAGAAGCAAGAUUGACUUUGACUUUGGGUAACAUUGAAACGGUGUCUCAGUCAUAGUCGUUGAAACAGUUUUGAGGAACUGAUCAUUUAUAUUAUAUUAUGGAAGUGAAUAAGUGAUCAUUUGACCGUUGAAUUUUAAUUAUUGCAAUAGAGUUGACUAUGAUAGAUUGGUGUAGAGGUUACGUUAUAUACAAAUUUCUGACUUUAACUUUUAUCCAUUUAUAAUGUCUUCGACGAUCAAAACAGGCAGUUUACUUUAGCAAAUUUGAAACAAACUAGAAAGUUUUAUUUAGACCGAUGUAACAUAGUUACUCUCACAUUCAUUGUGGUAACACAAAACAAAUAAACUUUUUAUUGCUAUUCAGAAAACACAGAGGUGGAACAGGUGUUUAGAUGAUAGCUACAACACAACAAAUAGAAAAGAAAAAAAAGAAAACGUAAUCAAUCUCACACUUGCAUUGCAAACUUUUUUUAACAUAGCACACUUGCAUUUUACAAUGCUCCGCAAAUAAUGUGUAACAAAUAUUUGGAGGGUCAACUAAAAUCAAAAUGUCUACUUAGACAUAUAUUGAUUGGUAGGAGCAAAGGUUGGUGCUUCACUCCCAUAUUGUCCUUGAGCAAGUAUCCCAUUCCAACCUGUAAUUAUAUAAAAAUCACUUAUAGUUAAUUAACAAUUUUUAAUUGGACUAUACGUACAUAUUUGAUUUGAUCAAUAUGAGGAUUUGAGUUAGGUACCUAGGGAAGGAUCAAGAUUCCUAAUCUUGAGCUCUCUGUAUUCUUGACAAAGAGCGCAACAAGGGCAUAGCAAAUGGCUUGCACAAUCUGAAUAUGGAGCUUCCACAAGAUUAAACUUUCUUCUCAUUUUUUCCCUAUACUUUGAUCCCAUCACCCAUUGUGAGCAUAAAGCAGGCAUCAUCAACAAGUACAUGAAAGUUCCAAGAGGACAAGCUGCAUACACAAUUCAACUAUCAGUUAUGUAUUAUUAGUGAAGAAUCUGAUUUAGGUUUCAAGUUGUGUAAACCAAAACAUACUCAUGUCUCCUUCAUCCACCACUUCUGUUAUUUGUCCGAAUGUCACACAAGGUGCGAUUGUUGUCAUAAGGGCUGCACAAAGUUUCAAAGAUUAGGGAGUUCAUUAAUUUGGUAUCUUUUGCAAGAAAUAUAUAUACCUAGCUAAAACUUGUAUUAAGAGUUUAUAUGAAUUACAAUACCGUUGGCUUGGUCUUCAUGACAAUCAAACAAACCAGUGCUCCAUGGCCUCCCAAUAGAUAGGUUAACAUUAGCUUGUUGAUAAUUUGGCGGCGCGAAUUGACUCGCCGGAACUCCAGUUUGCUGGUUAGGUGUGCCUCUUUGCUGAACCGGUGUACCGUUGUUUGGAUUCUCCUCGUGCUCUGUGACACGACCCAUUGGUUUGAUAUGUAAAGUGUAGCAAGCUAAGUUAUGACUUGAAGGGUUGAUUUAUAUAGAAGGAUGUUGAUGAGGAGAAGCUGUCUACAAAAAAAUUAAUCAAAUAAUAAUAUUCGAUAGAAAAAUUGAGUUUUUCUUAUUGAUAUAAAACGACGAAAUUAACUUCUAUAUAUAUUCCCAAAAGAAAGAAGAAAUUUUGAAUGAUGUAGUUCACAUUUAAGCUUUGACUUUUAAACGGUCGACGUAUUUAAAGUCAACGUCUUUCAAGCUUAUCGUUUUGAUAUUUAUUUUCUAAAACAAGUUGCGAUCGAGCAAAACCCAAAUUAAUUAGAUUCAUUAGUCUUACACUCAAUUACAUACAGAAGAAUUUUUUUUUUUUGUACAAGUAGAGUUUUAGAUUGAUACAACAUUGUUUUUUUUUUUUCUAACUUUAUAGAAGAAAUAAUUAUUUUUGUCUACACCCAGAAUUUAUUCGGAAACUUAUAAUUUCAAUUUUGUUAAGUUCUCUAGAUAUGGAAAAAAGAACAUGAAAGAAAAUUUAAUAAAUUACUGAUAAAAAGGGAUUUGACUAGUAUGUGUACAUUCCAGCAAGUGACGUUAAUCAACAAGUAUGAGUACAUUCCAAAUAGUAUAUAGAAAACUGUCACUAGCUAUUUUAUGCAUCUUCACGAAAUAAAUAGACUAAAAACAACUUUUACUUUUAUAAUAUUACAAUGAUGCCAUCAUUAUCUCUUUUUUCUUUUAGUAGGUUAAAUUUGAUACUCAGAAUUUUAUAAAUGUAAUUAAGAUAUAAGAUAUUGUCUACACAUAUAUUAUUGUUGGGGUGAUUUCCUACAUAUAUAAUACAUCACCUACAAGACCGUUAUAAGAUAUCAUACAUUAACUACAUGACAAAAUGAGAUAUAAUAUUAAUGGAGGAGGCCAUGAUCAAGAUCAUCAAAAGCUAAGAUUACUGAAGCUAACUUAUAGAAAGCUUGAGAUUCUUCAGAGAAUUCUGGGAUUAAAAAUGGUCUUAUCAUUAGCAUUCUUGUACAUGACUCGUUUUGGUGGUAGCUUUCUGAAGAUGAAGAGGACUAGAGAAACCGGUAAUAUCUCUACCAACUGUAAGUAAGCAACAAGAUUAGGUUUCAAGCAGAAACAAUGGUACUUAUAUAUAUCAGACAAAGAUUUAUGAUAAGAUUCUAUAUAUAAUUAGUUUAAUAGAGAGCUUACCACGUAAUAUAUGAGAUUAAGAAUUGGAUGAUCAAUCUCAUCAAUAUUUGCUCCCUCGUAGAAAGCAGCAACACACAUCUAAACCAUAUUAAAUGACAAAGCCUUUGGUUAAUUAAGUUGUUCAUUUUAAUUAAAAUCUAACCAAGAAGGUCAGGAGUAAUAGAUAUCAAAAUAAACAUGUGUAGGUGUGUGUGUGUGUCUUUACCAUGAUACAUCGGAUGAGGAAACACGUAAAGCAUAUGAUUGUCACAGAACCAAACUACCAUACAUAUAUAAGACAGAAAGAGUGGAAAGAGUCAAAGAAGCGCCAUAAAUAUAUAUAGUAAAACUUGAUUGGGUUACACUGUGAUUAUGUACAAUUUUGAUGUUGCACCUCUUUCAGCUUGCCGGAAGAUAGAUAUACAAGGACAAACAAAAUCAAGCUCCAAUGCAGGAUCAUAUUAAAUGGCUGGUGCGCAAAUGUACUCGGCUUUAAUUAGCACCAAAGCAAGAUGACUAGGUUCUCAAUAGGGACUCGUGGCUACAAAAUCUCAAAAUGUAGUACAUAUUCAAGAGGCGACAGAUUAGUUAAUGUACCUUCCACCAUAAAGUAAAUAUCCAAGGGAAACGAACAAUGAAACACCUACAAUUAUAUUUACAAGAGAGUUGAUACAAGUAAAGUACCAAUAUUACAGUGUAACAACCAUUCUUGGAUGAAUUGAGAUUACCUGCUAAAAACAUCUUAGAUAUGAUUACCAUAAUUACUCCAACAGGCUUCCACCACACAACCAACCAAAGAGAUAUCUGAAAGUUAUACAGUACCCAUGCAUGCACUUUAGUAUUUUUGAUCACAAACACUUCUUCUAGAUUGAUCACAAUUCACAAACAAAAUUAUAUAUACCUGAACUACAUAUACAAUUGCAUUUAUUAUGAAGAAGCUUGAUUUUAGUCCAUGAGUGGGUAACGAAAGAAUCUAUCCAGUAGUCAAAGAGUGUGGACUAAAAUAUCAGAACCAAAGAAGGAAAAAGGAAUAAUAAGAUUCAGAAUUCUUACCUGACGGUAAAGUGUUGCCCAGAAGAGAAUCAGAGUACCAUAGCUAGGUUGUCAAGAAACCAAUACUUGGAAUAUCAAGCAAGAUAUGUUGCAUAAUCUACAACAUAAUCAUCAAAUUUUUGCUAAUUUAGAAAGGCUGACAUAAACAUUUGUAAUAAAAUUUAAAUCGGUUUCUGAAUUUUGUAUUUUUUGAAGUUUAUACCAAUUUUAAAUGAAAAAAAAGUUUAAAACAUUUAAGAAACUCAUCCCGACUUUUUCAGUUAUAAUAUUUUUAAGAAAAUAUAUAAAAGAGUUGCUAUAUGAGAUCAAAAUUAUAAAAAUAAUAUUAUAACUAAACCAGAACUUUGAAAAAUUACCAAUCAAACUUCGUAUAAAAAACCCGCAAUAAUAAAAAUACAAAUAUAAAAAAAUAAAAAAUUCCCAAAUCCAAAAUCUAAAAAGUAUUUACAAAACUACAAGAAGCAUCCAUGGCUUAUAAAGUUUUUUAAAUCAAACUAUGAAAUAUUUAUAGGAAAAUUAUUUUGUAAAAUCUUGACUGGAUAUUAAAAAAAAACUUCAAUAUUCAAAAGCUAAAAUCAAAAAUAUAUUUAAAAACUACAAGCUAGCAUUCUUUUUUUUUUUUCUUUUUUUUUUUGUAAACCUACAAGCAAGCAUUCUAAACAGUCUUAAUUAAACUAGAAUGAUGAUGAAGACCCUUCUUCACCUGUGAAUGCAUGUUCCACACACUCCGCCUGAAGACAAACACCACAGCCCUAACUGCGAGAUAUAUAUAGAACACGAUCGAUCGAUGAGCUAGCAAAAUCAAUAAAAUCAAUCAAAAACACACAGAAAUUAAAAACUACAAUUCGCAGCCAGCAAUUAGCACCAAACCUCCAUGCAACCCGAUAUGGAGAAAGAUAAAGACCUUAUGCAUCGUCCAUCCAUCAUGUGGAGAUCGCGAGCGUAUUCUCACAAGGUGAAUCUAACAAACCAAAACAUUGACUAGUUCACAUAUAUAUAAUACAUGUUUCAAAGAUAGUUCAAGAAUCAGGAACGAGAAAUAUAUAAAAGCACGUAGUAGUAGUAGUACCACAGAGUAGAUGGAAACGAGUCCGUAGAGAAUUAGCGAGGACAUAGAAGAUCCUAUCCUGCCAAAUCGGCUAAUCAUUUACAUCCGACCACCAAUUCGACGAAUACGACAUCAUCUCCGAAGCGUCUUGCAUCAUCUCUAUGGAGCAAAAACGAUUUUAAUUUAGCUCUCGAUGAUCUUCUUUGAAAUAUUUUUUUUGUUAACAAAAACAGAUAUUAAAAGGAUUACAGUAGUAAAUUACUAAUUUUCUAAAUGGAAAAAAAUCACAACAAUUUUUUUUUUAAAUAUAUUAUUUAGAGUUUGGUUUCAAAGUUCGGAACUCACAUGAUCGUGACACAAUGUUAAGUCUCUCCAUCAGAUUUGACAAAUGUAAAAAUAACAUAUAUAUAAAAUUAAACUUAUAAAAUAAACAGCAAAUGGUAAAACGAAAAGGAUUACAUAUUACUUUAAAUAUAUAUAUAUAUAUAUAUAUAUAUAUAUAUAUAUAUAUAUAUAUAUAUAUAUAUAUAUAUAUAUCCAUAACAAGGAAAUUAUAUAGUAAAAGGAUUAUAAUUUUUUAAAAAAUUAUACAAAAAUAUAGUGAAUUACUAACCCUAAGAAGAAAAUAAUCACAACCAUAAUUUUUUUCAUGAAAAUAUAUUAAAAAUAAAAUUAAAUUAGAGAAAAAGAAGGAACAUAAUUAGAGUUCAUAAUCUUAUUAUAUAAACUAAAUCUUUUGAAGUUAGUAAUUAACAUGAUUGCGACAUGUGUCAAUGAACAGGUGAGAUUUCGAUAUGUGUAGGAAAAAAAAAUUCUCCUAAUUAAAUUUUGUCAUAUGCUAACAUAAAAAAAAAUGAGAAUUACAAAUACAUUUGCAUGUGGUAUAUAUAUAAUCAUGAUCACUCGAGUUAUUAACUUUGAAAAUUAAGCUUUAUUAUAUUAUUGAUAGUCUAAUCCAGUAAAGUUAUUGACAAAAAAAAAGGGGGAAUUUCAAAAAUACCCCUUUUCAUAUACCUUUUUUUACAAAUACCCAUUUUCAAACUUUAUCAAAAAACCCCCUAAAACGUUAAAAUUUAUCCAAAUAUGUGUGUAAACUUAUAAAUAUAUACACAAAUUACUUUUAUAUGUGUAUAAAACUUUAUAUACCUUUCAUAAAUAGCGUAAAAAUAAAUUAUAAAAACCUUAUAAAACCGUAUAAACCCUUUUAAAAACCUUUUAAAAACCUUAUAAAACUUAUAAAAACGAUUUAAAACGAUUUAAAACAUUUUAAAAUAUUUGUAUCAAAUCUCCCAGUAGUAGUUAUUAUAUAGAAAUACACCUUAUAAACUAUAUAAAACUUUAUAAUUUUUUAUAUUUAAAAAGGGGUAUUUUUGAAAAUGGAUAGAAAAAUAGGUAUUUUUAAAAAAGGGUACACCAAAAAGGGUAUUUCUCAAAAAUUCUAAAAAAAAAAAAAACUUUAUUAUUUUACCAGAACUGUAUUCAACUAAAAGUUUUCCACCAUUCAUGCUAAAACGUCAUUUUAGUGUCCGAUCUUGAUCUCUUAUGUACGAAAUGAUUGAUUUGCUCACAACCAAAGUCCAAAACCCACAAAACAGUAUUUACAGGUUUCAAAUACAUGAAAUAUAUUGUAAUUAUUGGACUAGAAGCAACAACCCUUGUCAUGGUUACAAACAAUUGCAAUCAAAGAUCACACAAACGUUUACUGGCCAAGUACAUUUGCUACUGAUUUCUUGACAAUUUUGGAAAGCUCCUCUCUAUUAAAAAAAAAAAAAAACAAUCAGAGAAAAAGAUUAAAGAACUUGCAUUCGAUUUCAUAACCACAUUUAAAGAAAACAAAAUCUACCUGUCUGGUUUGAACAAGAGAUAUCGAUAUGUGAACCACUGCAAAACAAAAACAAAAAAUAAUGAAUUGCUAGAAUGAUCAUAAUCCAUUUACACUUCUUGAUGAUAUCAACUUACCGUAGAGUACAAGAUACCAACUAGUUCGAAUCCGGACGAGAUAACAGGCAAUUUGUCGAUUGCCUAAUGGAAAACAAAAAGAACCAAGUCUUUGUGAUUAAAGAAUCUCACUACUUUAACAACAUGAAUAACAAAGUUUAAGUCUUUUCAGAACUAUACCGUGAUGAGGUUCACUGAUGCCCAGAGAGCUACAAUACCAGCAAAACCCAAACCAAAAAGACCUAACCUAUCUUCAGAGUUAUUCCACUGUAACAAAUUCACAUUUUUCCCAAAUCAAAACUAAAGGCAAAUAUGUAAAACUGAGAACAGAGUGACUUAGGGGUUUUAGGGACUUACAACAUUCUGAAUCGAACUACCGACGUCUAGAUCAGUAGAUGAUUCUGAGCUUUCUUUACUAGCUUUCACCAUAAGGGAGAUGCUGCUAUUAGGGUUUCGUUUCUCUACAAGGAAGCUCGACGUUAAGAAGCUCGAGCUUAGAGAAAAGGGUAGUUUCUGAAUCGAUGUGAGAUUGGAUUUUCUCUGUGUGAGUAACAAUGGCGAAGGCAACGUUGCAGAGAUCGAAGCCAUUUUUGUUUUACCUGACAAAAGAAAAAACAGAGCAAUAAAAAUCGAAACUUUAGAGAUUUUGACGAAGAAAGUUUUUGGUUAAUGGAUUAGAGAUAGCCUUAUCUUUUUAUAAUCCACGUGGCAUGUCCUAAGUGGCAUAGCAAAUCUCAGAGAUGAAAACCCAAUUCGCCACGUGUCAGAACAAGAUCCAUCAAAUGAGUGAAGUUUAGAUUCUCCAACUAUACAAAUUACAACAGAUCCACUCACUCACUUUGGUAACCAAAGAGAGAAACAUGGCAUCUUUUGCGACCAUCGCCGCCGUACAACCUUCUUCUGCCGUGAAAGGACUCGGAGGCAGCUCUCUCGCCGGAGCUAAGCUCUUCAUCAAGCCUUCUCGUCAAAGCUUCAAACCCAAAUCCACCAGGUAAAAAGUCUAAAGCUUUGAAAUAAUCUUGUUUUGAGAUUGAUGAGGAUUUCGUAUUCAAAAAGGAUGUUACUUUGUGGGUUUGUGUAUAGAGCUGGUGCUGUGGUAGCUAAGUAUGGAGACAAAAGUGUUUACUUUGAUUUAGAAGAUUUGGGUAACACAACAGGACAAUGGGAUGUCUAUGGAUCUGAUGCUCCUUCUCCUUACAACCCACUUCAGGUUUUUUAAAACUCUCAAUCCUUGAAAAAAUCUAUAUGCUUCCUUCAAAUUAUGAGACUUUUGAUUGUGAUUCUCUUCUUUGUUUACUUGCAGAGCAAGUUCUUUGAGACAUUUGCUGCUCCUUUCACAAAGAGAGGUUUGCUUCUCAAGUUUUUGAUCCUUGGAGGAGGCUCUUUGCUUACUUAUGUCAGUGCCAACUCAACCGGCGAUGUUCUUCCCAUUAAGAGAGGUCCUCAAGAGAAGCCUAAGCUCGGUCCUCGCGGCAAGCUUUAAAUUUAGCUUUCUAAACCCUUCAAAAAGUCAGAAACUUUCUUCCCAGUUCUGUGAACCCUUUCAAUGAUUUAUGUACAUUGUGUUGUUGUUAAUGCUUUGUAAGCUAGUGGAUUCUGAGAAUCAGUUAUAAUGAAUCAAUGAAAUUGCAUUUGAAGUCUGCUACAAUACAAUGGUGGAAUCAUUUCAGAUGGAAAAAUGCAACAAACAACCUACUUUUACAAGAUAAAAGAAACCGAUGUUUUUCAUGAGUAUCGCGCGGUUGGACUCCUCAUACCUCCAAGAGAAUCAAGAUAAGAACUCUUCUUGUUUGUCAUAAUACCUGUGACUUUAGACAACAACGGUUUCUCUCGAUCUCCAAAAAAGCUUUCUUUCUUCGGUUCAUUGUUUUUGUUAUUGCCCCAUUGCAUAACAUCAGAAAGUGUUCCUAAUGCCAAAUCCUCUGAGAAACUUAGUCUUUCAUCCUUAGGUCUCUCGUUCUCUUUCAGGCUAUAUCUGUUCUUAGAAGGUGCAUUUGUAGGUUCUUGAGUAAGCUGAUCAGCGUAAAGCACGUCUUCUAUUCUCGACAUCACGGUGUGAGCCAAACUCUCAAGCACUCUUGAAUAACUCUCCAAUAUCGCAAGUCCUACAUCCUGCAACAGCCAAAAUCCAAUAAUGAGCUUUUCUUAAGACCAAAAAGAAAACACAAUCAAAAUGUAUAUGUGGAAAUUGGAGCUUUUAUUUACUUUGUUGAAUUGAAUCUUGCUGAUAUCGAGCGAGGAUUGUGAGAUUCCGGGAAAACCUUGUUUCAAUAAGAGCAAGAUUGUUUCAGCUCUCUCUUCAAACUGUUCUCUUUUCUCAAUACUCACUGUUGAUCCCCAAGGAGACUUUGUGUCCUUCUGCACCAUUUUCCUCUUCCAUAUCACAAUCGAUGCUUCGAUUCUGUUCUUUAGAUCAAGAAUCUUGUGCUCAGAUGAUAAAUCCAUUUCAAUAAGGAACUGAUCUGCAUCAAACAUCUCUAAUGUUAUCAUUCUGUAUAUCACAUCUCCCAAGCUAGCUCUCCCAUUCUGUUCUCAGCCAUACACAAAAACAUCAUAUAUAAGGACCAGAUCAUGACAUAUUCUUGAUGAAUGUUUAUGUUUUUAUUAAAUAAACCUUAGGAAGUGACUCAAGGUAGCUUUCAGGAAUCUCCAUUUCAGACAGAACUUGGGCGUUUAUUGCCAUUGCAGCUUUAAGGACUUGAUUUACACAUUCCUUUUGGCUCUGUAGGAACCUUCUCGAUAUCUCGGAAAGGCCGUUGGGUGGGACUUUAACCGCCGGUAACCACCAUUUCUCAUCACUCCUUGAAUCAGAAUCAGGAGAAUCUUUCUUGACAUAAUAAAACUCAUCCUGAUCCUUGAAUUUAUCAAGACAGUCCUACAAAAGUAUGAAUAUACAUGUAAGACUAAUAUAUAUAUAGACAGCCCUUGAUAAGUAUAUUUGUGCUGUUGUUGUUGUUGUUGUUCUUACGAGGAGCAUUGCAUCAAGUUUCUUAAGUGCAGGGAUGUUACAGAGAAGAUCUGUUCUUUGUCUUGUCGUCAUAACUUCCAUAGAAGAUCCAUCUUUGUUGGUUUGUUGGCUUGGAGCGAAUUCAACUAUAUGAUCAGCCACAGAGAUAAGCCAUCCAAUUUCUCUUUUCCAACGCGCUUUUCUAUCCGCAGCCAUUGGCUCUAAACGCCUUUGUUCUCCAAACGCAGACGCUGCAACAACAACAACAACAAAAAAGUUACACACAAAAUAAAUUCCAAGAAACUGAAAGAUUUGGGAACAAUGUCUAACCUGCAAGAUUGGUAAUGGCGUUAGAUAAAGCCAAAGCCGACGAAACACCUUUUCCUCCUCCUGACAUAUCUUCUCCAAGAAGCAACUUCGAAAACCUCUCUUUCAUUUGCUCAAGGGCUGUAACAACAACAACAACAACGUCAAAACUUUGAAUUUUGCCCUAGCUUAUAGUUGAAGAAAACAUUGAAUAAACUUGCUACACAAGAAAUCAAGAUCAGAUUUGAACCUGCUUGUAAUUGUGCCUCCAUGGAUUCCGAUGAAGCGACCCUCGGAAUCUUGUCGUUGCGGUUAGGGGUUGUACCGCCUAAAGGCAAAGAAGAAGGUCGGUCAACGCUGCUAUACAUCCCAGGUUGACUCCUAAACAUCAUGUCAUUGUCAACAUCUCCCAAAUUAUCCGAACCAUCCAUCCUCAUUGCACAAUCGGAGCUCCAGCUUUUAACAUGUCUUGAAGCUGUGUUGUCGUUCAUGUUCUUGAAAUGAAACAAUCUUGAUUUGUAGCUCUCUUGUUCUUGAUCCAUAUUAUUAGAUACUAAACAAGAAUAAUAAUAAGAAAAGUAAAGAUUUAUGUGUUUUGAAUUCUUCUUUUUAAUACUUUUCGUCUUCUCUUCGUGUAAUAAAGAGGAGUUUUAGGAGAUUUUGGAGACGAAGACAAAAAAAAAAACAAACUUAAUUAACCAAAAAAACUGAUUCUGAAUUUUCAGACUUAGCAAAUACAGAACACAAUUAUUUGACUUCUGUUGUUAAUGGUUUUAGUUUAACCUCAUUGAUUAUUUUAGUAACAAAUUAUGAUUCGUUGUCCAUAACCAUAAACAAAGUGAAAUGUGGUCAGAUUCUUUAGGGAAAAAAAAGAGAAAAUAUUUUUAAUUUUUCUUGGAAUGUUUUACUAUUUAUAAAUAGAUACUUGGUGGAUUGUGGGAUGCACGUUAUUAGAAAAUUCAAUUCUCCACACACCCCAAAACAUAAUUAUAACAAGUCUUAAAAUUAUCGAGGAGGACAUGUUACAAUAUGUAAUCAUUGUUCUUUAUUUCUUGAUGUAUUAAAAUAAUUACUCUAUUUCUCUGUUAAUUAGGGAUUAUGGGAUAUUUCAUAUUUUCCUCAGUUUUGACAUCUCUCUGAAUUUACCAAAGGAGUUAAAAAGAAGAAAAAAAACAGAGUAUGCUAAUGAUGGAUUAGUCUAUAAAUUUCUCUAUUCUAUUGUGGGUGGACUUGUUAUUAUGUUCUUUAUUUACUUUGUUGCAUUACAAAUAUAGAAUAUAGACAAAUCUUUGGGCAUUACCACUUUUAUUGAUGACAAAAGCAAACACAUGUAAAAAGAAAAAUGAAAGAUCUCACCACAUGAAUGAAAUCAACAACAUCCACUCUUAAUUGAGUCUAUUUACAGACUUAUUAGAAUUCAAACAAAAGCUAAGAUCUUCAUAAGUCUUUUACAUCCCCAAUGAUUUAUUAGGGGGUUUGUGUAAUGAAUUAAUUAAGGAGUAGAAGCGCCUUUAAAGAUGAGGAACUUAAGUGUCUCCAAUUGAAAAUAGAUAAAAGUCCCUAUAGAAUGUGUGAAGAAACACCCAAAAUUUGAUCCCACCACACAUUGCCAUCCACUCCCAUAUAUCUCAUCAAACUCCUGCAUUCAUCAUCAUUCAAGAAACAACAUCAACCAACCAAUAUGACAAUGAUGUCUUUGUGACUUAGAAUUAUAUAUAGCUAGAGUUAAAGAAGAAAGGGUUUAUUAUAUAUAUACCAACCUUCUUGAUGUGGCCAGCAAUGGAUUUACAGUCAGAGACAUCAAAAAGAUCGAGAGCUUGAGAAGCAAAAGCCAUAGCUUGCAUCUGCAUCUUCACUGGCAUAUCUGAAUCUUCCACCAUUGCUUUGCCUUCCAACAUCUUCUCAAUCUCUCUCUAUCUCUCCCUCUCUCAGUAACUCAAAACGUGUUUUCAGAUUCUCUCUUCUGAGACAAGAUGACAAGGCAAAGCUUUGUAUCUUUAUAGACACCAAACGACACAAAAUGAAAAAAGAUUCCUUUAAAAUCUAAUCUUUACAAGUAAAACCCAUACGAAAGAUAAAUAAUAAUGUCUCCUCUUUGAGAAAAGAAAAAUAGUGGGGAAAUGUGCCUAACCUCUGUUCUUUGUCGUCUUCUCUUCACUGAGUUUAAAUUUGAACUACUUCCUCACGGGUUCUUGGAUUCUAAGUUCUUGAUUUCAAGAAUGAUAAAUCUUUUUCUUGAAACCAAUUUCAAGAAUGAUAAAUAUAUUAGAAUUAACAAUCCAAAAAUGAAUUGCAAGAACGAGCGAGCACAACUGUUUUUAAAAAAAAAAAAAUUAGUCAAAAAAGAAGUUGAUAAUUUCAAAGAUAAAAAGGCAAAAAAAAUUAAGUGAUAGUUUGAAGAUUUUUAAAAAGGAAGAAGAAACGAGUAUAAUAAAAUAUGUAAAAUGACUUGUUUGAGUAAUAUAUAUGUGAUUAUGUGUCUCUCUAUUACGUGUGUCCAAGUAUUUUUGUCUUUGACCUUCAAAAUGGAUAACGAUGGUGAGGUGCAUAAUUAAUAAUUAGUUUUUAACAGAUAACAUUUGAGAUAAUUUGUGAUUAGCUGCUAAAUGCUUCCACAAUUUUCGGAAAAUGUCGGUGCCGCUGUUUGAUUCUAUAAGCCCAUUAAGAUUUUUUUGCGGCCCAUUUGUCUUAUGUAGGUUUAUCAAUUUUCACAAAGCAUUAGAUUAUCUCAUCUUAAAAUUCUUUUAACCAAAAUAAAUCUCAUCUUAAAAUUCUCAAAAGCUUUUUAAUGCAAAUGAUGAGUUUGAUUUUCUUAUGACUAUUAGACUAUUGAUUUUUCUUGAAAGUGUAAUUACCAUGCUUAAGUCUAAAUUGAAGUUAUUUUAUAGGUUGAUACAUUUAGAAAACAUUUAAAUACAAUUAUACUUCUAGUUUAGUACUUACACUACCACCAUAAUGUUUUUUCCUGAUUUAUCAUUGUGUUUUUUUCCUGACUUUUUUAAAUAGAUUGAAAUGUUAUUUUUUCUUACUUUGUAUUUUUUUAUUUUUGUUUGGCUAUAAAAUGUUAUUUUCUAUUUAAAUGAAAUUAAAUAUGAACAUUGUAUAUUACUAUAUUCUGAUUAUUUAUUAUUAAUUCUAACUUUUCCAUUUACUAAAAUGUUCUAUCUUCUUUUGGUAUUUCUUAAAAUAUUUCUUUGCAACAAAGCAACAAAAAAAAGCAAUUUUUUUUUUUUGACUAACAAACACAUACAUACACUGAUACACAUGUGAGUCUAUCUUGGCUCCCGCCGUAAAACCUGGUGAGAUUUUAAGGUUUUUUUUCAUUUGACGACGAUCUCUUCUCUUCUCCGAUCAAUCACUGUUCACAGUCCGACGCAAUAAAGAAACCCUGAUAGCAAUGUCGUUAAUUUCAAAACCCACUUCGAAAGUCUCCACCUUUACCUUCAUUCUCCUCUUACUCCUCAGUUUCGCAAUCAUCGUCGCUUAUUCAUCUUCAGACUCCAAUGUCGAAGCAAACGAGCCCGGAUCUGAUGACGAUCUGGAACAGCUUCUAGCAGUAGACGAGCAAUUACAAGAAGAUCGACCUGAGCAACAAUCUGAAGCCGAAACAGUGAGCAAAGCUCAGAGAAUCGUGCUUGAGCUCAAUGGAGAUAACCCGAAACGAGUGAUCGAUGGGAACGAGUUCGUGAUGGUUCUAGGUUACGCGCCUUGGUGUGCGAGAAGCGCUGACCUUAUGCCGAAAUUCGCGGAGGCUGCGACGGCUCUGAAAGAGAUCGGUAGUUCGAUUUUGAUGGCUAAGAUCGAUGGCGAUAGGUAUUCGAAAAUCGCGUCGGAACUUGGGAUUAAUGGUUUCCCUACGCUUCUUCUCUUCGUUAAUGGCACUUCUCAGACUUACAAUGGUGGAUCGUCUGCGUAAGUUAUCUCCAAUUUUGCCUUCUUUGUUGUCAACUUACGGAUAAAUAUGAGGUUUUGGAGUGUUGGGAUUGAAAGGGUUUUGUGGAAAGUUCUGAUUUUGGGUUUUAAUUCGAUUUUGAUUGAAUCGUUUAUGAGUUCUGGUCAAUGUUUCAGGGAGGAUAUAGUCAUCUGGGUCCAAAAGAAGACUGGUGCACCAAUCAUUACAGUUAACACAGUUGAGGAAGCUCAGAGAUUUCUGAAAAAGUAUCAUACUUUUGUUCUUGGUCUGUUUGAGAAGCUUGAGGUAUUUGGAUACUGAAACUGCAGAUUUGAAACCUGGGAAUUGUAUAGACUUGUUUUGAAAUGUAAUUGUUGAUAGGUGUGUUGUGUGUUUGCUUAGGGUUCUGAACAUGAUGAAUUUGUUAAAGCUGCAAAAUCAGACGAUGAAAUCCAGUUUGUAGAAACAAGCAACAGCGAUGUUGCUAAACUUCUCUUUCCUGACCCUAAAACCAGCAAUGUCUUCAUUGGUAUGGUUAAAACUGAGGCUGAAAGGUAUACAGUAUAUGGUAAGCUUGCUACUGAUUUUGAAUACCUCUCUGUUAUUAUCAUAUCUUUUCCUUCCUAUCUAUAUCAUGAGAAGUGGUAACACCAGUCUGCAAUGCAGAUGGAUCUUACAAAAUGGAGAAGAUAUUGGAGUUUCUAGGAAGCAACAAGUUUCCUUUGAUUACAAAAUUGACUGAAACCAAUACUGUCUGGGUUUACUCCAGUCCUGUUAAGCUUCAGGUUACAAGUUUUUUUUUUGUGAUUUCAGUUUGUAUCUGCUAAGUUUUGGUUCCCUUUGUUUACUUUUGGUUAUGUUUUAAUCAUAACUCUGAACUUUUUCCUUCCUUUGUUAGGUUAUGCUCUUCUCCAAGGCUGAUGAUUUUCAGAAACUUGCUCAGCCUCUUGAAGAUAUUGCAAGAAAAUUUAAAUCGAAGGUAAUUCUUUGAUGCUGAAUUUUGAAAGACCUGACAGAUUUAGUCUUUAGACUCUAUCUUAACUGUUUAUUCUUUUUCUUGCAGCUGAUGUUUAUACAUGUCGAUAUAACAAAUGAGAACCUUGCAAUGCCAUUCUUGACUUUAUUCGGGAUAGAAGUUGCAAAUAAAACUGUCGUAAGUUUCGGAUACUUGUUUCAGUCUGCGUGAUUGACAAUUUGUGAUCUACUGAUAAUAAAGCUACAAACAAAUGUGAUUAAUCAGUUUUCUUCUACAGGUUGCUGCUUUUGAUAACAACCUGAACUCCAAGUAUUUGCUUGAAUCAGAUCCAUCACCAAACAGUAUAGAAGUCAGAAGUUGUUUUUGCCUUUUCGACUUACUCCUCAAAUAUUCAUAUAGUAACUGAUUCAUGUGAUCCUCUUUUCGAUUUACAAUUUAGGAGUUUUGUUCAGGACUUGCUCAUGGAACUGUUUCACGUUACUAUAGGUCAGAGCCAGUUCCAGAUAAUGUGAGUGUGAAAUAUAUAAUCCUCUCUUCACGCCGGGGUAUAUAUUCCUAGUCACAUUUAUUGAGUUAUAAAACCCGGUGAAAUCUGCAGGAAAAUGCAAGUAUUGUGACUGUGGUAGGAAAGACUUUUGAUGAGUUGGUGUUGAACAGCCGCGAGAAUGUUCUUCUUGAGGUUAGUAAUCCCGAAUAGCUUCUCUACCAAACCAAACUUUUAUACAUCGACAUUGAGAACAUAGAUCUUGCGGGGUAAAACAGGUGCAUACACCAUGGUGUGUGAAGUGUGAGGCACUAAGCAAACAAGUCGAGAAAUUGGCAAAGCAUUUCAAAGGCUUUGAGAAUCUUGUUUUUGCAAGAAUUGAUGCAUCUGCAAAUGAGCAUACUAAACUACAGGUGACUCAAAAUCUUUCCCUGCAACAAAACUAACAAUUCCAGAAGCACGAGCUAAUAUUAUUGAUUGUUGAUGACAGGUAGAUGAUGAAUAUCCAAUGAUCUUGCUCUACAAAUCUGGUGAAAAGGAGAAACCGGUAAGAGUCUUUUUGAAAGAGCUCACUUUAACUCAAUCCCUUUUCGACUCCAUCACUUUUGUUUUUGCUCAGUUACAAGCUUUCUACGAAGUGAAUCUUACCCGUUUUGAUCUGCAGUUAAAGCUAUCAACGAAAUUGGGCGCCAAGGACAUGGCUGUUUUUAUCAACGAAGAGUUGAAACCAAAGGAUGGGUCUGCUAAAGAUGAGUUGUAGACAAGUUUGAGGAAAUGUAGACAUAAGAGACAGAAAAAUAUCAUAGAUGAUAAUUUUUGUGACACAUUACAUGAUUUUGAAUUUGAUAUUGUAUGGAACCCAAAAUAAAAGGAGCCCAAUUCGUUACAAUCCGUAACUUAAUGAAUUUUGAAAUUACAUUUCCGGAAGUUAUAUUGUAUGGUACAAAAUCAAAUGUGCCAAAGAAAACGAAAUGUGGGUAUCCUCUGCAACAAACUUUUGCUUGAUUUAGCAUUCACACCCUGUUGAUCUUUGUUGCUGACCUCCGGCAAUAUCAAUGGUGUCGGGAAGGUACCUGAAAAGGUAUCAGAGGAGAAAGUUACAAGAUAAGACCUCGACGAAGUGGAAGUGAAGCAAAUUCAACAGAAAGUUAGUGUACUUACGGUUCUUCUUCAGGUUCAUUCUUGAAAGCAUUUUUGGUUAUGCAUUCGAAAGCCGCAUCCACAUUGAACCCUUCUUUGGCGGAAGUCUCAAAGUAAGGAAUGUUUCCUUUAGAAGCACACCAUGCCUUUGCCUUUUUCUCAGAAACCUGAAGAUAUGGGACAAACUUAGCAUACAGAUACUUGAGUAUUCAUGAAAUGUGGAUGAAUAAGAAAACCUCUCACCACUCUGCUCUUUCCACCGUCAACAUCAGUCUUGUUCCCCAACACGACAAAUGGGAAGUUUUCAGGAUCCGAAGGACUAGCCUAUACAGUGUCACAAUAAAGACGAUGAGACAUCAUAGAUUAUAGCAAACAGCUUAGAUAUGGUUAGAUGAAGGUUAUAAUCACCUGAAUCAAGAACUCUUCCCUCCAGUUAUUAAGAUUAUCAAAAGAUUUCAUAACAUUGACAUCAUACACAAGAACACAACAAUCUGCUCCUCUGUAAAACGCAACUCCCAAACUUUGAAAUCUCUCUUGCCCAGCAGUAUCCCAAAUCUGUAUAAUGUAUUGAAAAGAUUCAAACUUUGGAGUACAUUUUUCCUAACAAACUAGUACUCACAAAGCAAAAAAAAAUAAAACUUUUUCUUUAUUAUGAACCACAAAAAAAGUUAGGAACUUUAGAAAGAUCCAGUAAGAAUAUUCCAAGAAUCAUAUAAUGUUGUUUGAUUCAUUCAAACACUGAAGACAAAACAGAGAUUUUUUAUAACCUGUAAAGUGAAGAUUCUGUCAUCAAUCUGAACCUCUUUAGUCAAAAAAUCUGCUCCAAUCGUCGCUUUAUACUGAUUACUAAAUUUGCGAUUCACAAACCUAAACAUGAAAACCAAAAUCAAUAUGGUUUUUUUUUUAUCAAAAACAUAAUAAGCAAAAGAGACAUAGAUCUGGAUUUCAGAAAACAUACUGAUUCAUCAACGAAGUCUUCCCAACUCUGUCCCAAAAUAACAAAGGAUCAAUCAAAAUCUCAAUCAAUGAACAGAUAAAAAUCACAUCAAAUCCAUAUAGAAAUCGAAGAGAUGAGAAACAAUUGUUUACCCGCUGUCACCGAGAAUGAUAACCUUAAGAAGAACUCUACGACGAGAAGACAUUGACGAAAACUUUUAGGGAUUGAGCUAAUUUGAUUUUUCUUAUCACCGAAGAAACUGUCUCUGUUUUUUUGUUCUUCUCUUUUGGUUUUGGUUUCUUCUUUCGUGUGAUUCAGGUGAAGAGAAAGCGAAAUUGCAGAAGAAAAUUAAAAAAGAAAAGGUAAUAAUCGCUAAAUAACAGCAAGGUUACACUAUUUUAAAUCUCUUACUUUCCUAAACUACCCCUCCUUUAAUUAGUCAUUUAACUAAUCCUUUUUUUUGCUUCUUCUUCUUCACAGCAUUACUAAUCUUGUUAUAAGAAUUGUUUUGGAAAGUAGCUAUUAAUUUAUAUAAGAAAUCCUUAAACAGUUAAUGGGUCUAAUUAUGUUUUACUUUUUCCAUGUGUUGUUUUUUAGAAGUAGCAUUGACUAAUGUACUAAGUAAAUACAUUAAUUUUACAAAAUGAAUAUGAGACGGGAUUUUAUUUACAAAUUAACAAGGUCAUUAAAGUGUUUUUUUUUUCUUCAAAAUCACUAUGCUUUAAAUAAAUAAAAAAUGUGAUUAUAGAGACUAAACCCUCAAAUUAUAUAUCAAGGCCAAAAAUAAUAAAGGAUCAUAUAGUAGAAGCUUUGAUUGAAUCUAUUUAAUAUCUUGAACAAAUAAAUAUUCACGUGCAAAACGAGGAGUAUGACAGUUUUGAUUAGAGCCACACAUGAAAUAAAAAGCGAAAGAGCGUGUUAUGAAUGAUGUGUUUACACCUAAACCUACCCCUACAAAAAAGCUUGGACUUUUUAACUAUUACCAAAGAAUCCUCUGUUUUUAAGUUAUUGUCUCGUUGGUUCUCGUCUCUGGUUCGAUCUCUUGCGUUGUACGAUGGCCUUCAGUGAUACUAGAGGACCCUGAUGGGUUCUGACCGUUGUCGCUAGUCAAACCGCUGCAUUCGCUACUACCACCAAAUGUCUGACUUUCAUAUGCCAUUUUCUUGAAUUUUUUUAAGUCUUCUUUGUAUUGUGUUGAGCUGUAAUCUGAGCUCCCAUCUAAGCUGUAAAUAGUGCUGUGUCCUGGAGCAGAUCCUUCGGUUAGGUCAUCUAGAGAUAUGUUUCCUUCAAAUGCUCGAACUAUCUGCAAGUGUCCAAAGAGUAAUCACCACAAGUUUAGGUUUUUAUCCCAAGUGCUAGGUGAAAACUGUUUCCAAAAUAUUCCGUUUUGAUAGUACCUGGCUAAUUUUUGGGCGGCGUUUUGCUGAAUGACGGACACUAGCAGCAGCGCAAGCGACCAUUCUCGUCAUUUCGCUGACAUCAAAGCCAUGCUCCAGUCGCGGGUCAACAAGACCGUCAAAGCUACCAUCAUUUAGAGCUUGUAUCAUCAAAGGUUUUGCCUAUAACAUGAGGUUAAAUUCAGAAACUUAUUGAAAGUUUGGUGCUAACAAAGGUAAAACAAGAUUACCAACCCAAUCAACAAUGCUAUCAUCAUCUGCAAAAGGCUGUGAAUUAUCAACAGGUCGGCGUCCAGUUAUCAAUUCAAGAAGCACCACUCCAAAUGAGAAAACAUCUGAUUUAUCAGUGAGUUUUCCUGAAGAAGCAUAUUCAGGAGCCAAGUAACUGCAUUUCAAGAAAACCACUAGAGACAAGUCAAGAGACCGUUUUAUAAGUUGUUUCUAAUAUGAUGAUUGCGUAGGGAGAGAGCCUAUCAUACCCGAAUGUUCCCAUAAUCCGAGUGGAAACAUGAGUAUCAGUAUCUAAAGAAGACCUGGCGAGUCCAAAAUCAGCUAACUGAUGAAGAAUCAAGUUCAACAUUAUUAGUAGUUCACUUGAAAUAUUGUAAUCUUUACAAGUUUUUAGAGUACCUUUGCCUCGUAGCUAUCGUCAAUUAGAAUAUUUGCAGCCUUCACAUCCCGGUGUAUUGUUUUAGGAUUACCUGAAACAAAACAAAUCUCUUUGACAAAUUGACACCAAAAGACCAAAAAAAAAGAACAAAAACUUCAGAAACAAAUGUUAAACAUUACUUACAAUCUUCAUGUAAGUAUGACAAUCCUUUAGCUGCACCUAAAGCAAUCUUCAUCCUCUUUGGCCAUUCCAUUACAGGUCUCCCUUUCUCUACAAACAUCACCAUAGGUUUUAUUAAAACAAAAUCACGAGAACUCACGAAGACCAUAUAAUCACAGACCAAGUAACUCACCGUGCAAAUGGAACUCAAGAGUCUUAUUAGGAACAAACUCAUAAACAAGCAAUCUUUGAGAACCAGUUAUACAAUAACCAAGAAGAGAAACAAGGUGCCUGUGAUGAACUCUACUAAUAGUCUGUAUCUCGGCUUGAAACUCGCGUUCACCUUGUCCACUUCCAGCUUUAAGCUGCUUAAUAGCAACCUCAGUUCCAUCAACAAGAACUCCUUUAUGAACAUAACCAAACCCACCUUGUCCAAUAAGGUUAGUGCUAGAGAAAUUACUAGUUGCUUUAGACAAAUCUUCAUAUGUAAACAAGUUUUGUCCAAUAUCUGAUGAACUACUUUGAUGAUUCCAUUGUUGAAGAUUAUUGUCUACCAAAAAAAAAAAAAAACAGAGGAAUCGAAUAAUUAAUGAAAAGAUUGAAUCUUUGAGAAUAGAUAAAGAAACCCUAAAGUGAAAAAUACCUUUGGGAUCUAGUGAGUCUUCUCCAUUAAUGGCAGCUUCAGUAUCAUUCUUCUUCUUCAUCUUCAUCUUCUUCUUCUUUCUUUUAUAGAAACAAACAAAGACACAAACUCCGAUUGAAACAAGCGUAGCUCCAAGAACUACUCCAAUGAUUAGUAGAGUUAAUGCUACUCUUCUCAAACUUUCAUCGCGUGAUGUAUCCGUCGUGAACGGAGGAGGAGGCGGAGAAGGUCCGAUGAUGGAGGGCUGAGAAGGGGUAGUUGUAGUGUUUGGAUUAUUGAAAGGAAACACAGGGUCCGGUGGGAAUGGGACGGAAGGGAUAGUGUUGUUCGACGGAGACGAUGACAUUUAGAGAUCGGAAGAUGAUGAUGAGUUGGUUUCAGGGUUUUCACAUGGCGGAAGUGAGAGAGGAGGAAGAAGAAGAAGAAGAGGAAAGAAACAUGUGGGGUAGGUUCCACCACUAGUAGUGAGAUUCUUUCUUCUUCUUGUUGCAGUGUCUAAUUCUAUUUGUCACUCUGUUUCUUAAUAAACAACUAAAUAACAAAUUCUUUCUUACAUCUUUUGUUUGUUUUUCUUUCUUACAUCUUUGUUUGUUUGUUUUUUUUUCUUUUUCAUUUUCAAAAAUCAAACUUCACACUAAAUCUAAUCAAAUAUAAAUUUACGAUAGAUUUUUGAAAAUCAAUCUUAUUUUCAAUAAAAAUUAUUAUAUAACUAAAAUUCUUCAUAGGAAAAAAAUAAAAAGUCAUUUUAAUAUAUAUAUAUUUUUAAAAAAUUUUGUAUAAUCAAUUUGAUAAAUUUAAAAGGUGAAUCUAUCCAAUUUAAAAAAGGUUUAUGCUAGUUUAGCAUAUUAUAUAUUAUACUAGUCGGUUGCCCGCGCUACGCGCGGGAGUUUAUUAUGUUGUUUAUGAAUAAUUGGUUCGUAUUUUAUUUCGUAUUUAUUUUUUUCACUAUACCAUACUUUACUUUUUUAAAACUUAAAUCGUGUUUAUAUAGAAAAACUAUUGAGUUUUACCUUCAUUAGUCGUUGAGUGAUUAAGUGUGAAGUGCGGUUGAGAAUCAUUGAGAAUCGUGUGCUAUUAUGGUUUUUACUAAAUAUAGAUCUAGAUAUUAAUAUUUUGGACUCUUUUAUAUGUUGGCAUGAAAUUUGAACAUGAUUUGUGGGUUUCGGGCGGAUUGUUGUAUUUUAAAUUGUUUACAUUAUCUCUUUAUAUAUUGUCAUAAUUUAUUAUUUUUGUUUUACGUUUUCCUUUUUUGGAUUUGUCGUACUUUAUAUCUCGUAAUAAUCAUUUAUAUACUAUUAUAUAUUUUUUUCUGAUUUUAUGUUUUAUAUAUUUUUUUUGUUUAUCAUAUGGAACAAUUUUUAAAUUUAACAUAUUAGUAUAAUUUACUUUAUAUUUAGUUUAUUUCAUUUAAUAAUGUUUUUUAUUUUAAUUUUCAAUUUUAUGAAAUAUAGUUAAUUUUAUAUUUUGUUUAUUGUGUUGUAUUGGAGACAAAUAGUUAAAUUCAUAUUGGAAACUUUUAAAGAAAUAUUAUUUUUAUUUUUACCUUUUUAUAUGUUUAUAAAAAAUAAGAAUUCAUGUUUCGGUCCGACCUAUCUCAUUUAUGUUAGAAAAUGUUUUGAGACAUAAAUUAGAUAGAUUUAUAUUCUCAAAAAUUUUAACUUUUCGUUCUAUUCCCGUUAAAUACCAUUAUAUUUAGGUUUACAUUGUGUAAAUAUAAUCAUAUAUAUAUUUUAAACAUUCACUAAAAACUAUAAUCUAUUAUUUAUAUAUUUGUUAGUAUAAUCGAUAAUUAGUAAGUUUUUUUAACUUUUAAUCAAUUAUCUUUUUUAGUUUUAUAAUGUAUAAUAUAAAAAAAGACCUUUCAUAUUCAUUUUUGGAAAACUUAUUUACAUAGGUUUAAAUAUUAAAACUAAAUGAUAAAAUGGUAUAAUUAAUUUUAAAAAUUAAAUAACAAAAUGAGGUGGAUGAUGAUGUGGCUUAAGGAGAAGAGAGAAAAAGUUAACUUUAUAUAUAUAGAUAUAUUUAAUAUGAUUGAAGUAAAGCUUUAUUUUUUUUUUAAACAGAGGAAAAUUAUUACAAAUGAGAUUAAACGAUUUUAAACUUAAUUUUGAUGGUUAUUCUUAAAACUAAAAUAUUUUUUUACCUUAAAUAAAGAUUUGCUUUAUGGUAUAUAUUAUAAAAUAUUUCUCCAAAUUUAAUAAUUUUGUAAGUUAAAUAUUAUGACGUGUCUAUAUUAACAUUUUUGAAAUAUCUUUGUAAGUUAAAUAUUAUGACGUAUCUAUAUUAACAUUUGUGAAGUAUCUUUUGGAAAGUUACCUUUUAUUUUGUAUUAUUUGCAACAUAAACCCUUGCCAUUUCUAUAAUUUUAUUAACUAUAAAGUUUAAAUUAAAAGAUCUACAACUACUUUGAUUUUACUAAAAUAUCUCCCUAAUAAAUUGAAUAUCUCUCAAAUAUUUUUAAAUGAUCUUAUUUGUUUUAAAAUAAAUGAAAGAUGUUACACCAUCGUCAUAUCAUUAUUUGAAAUAUUGUACAUACUUUAUUAAGUUGAUUAAAUUAUGGUUAUAUAUAACAAACAAUUUGUCACGUUGUAUUCUAUAGGUUAAAUCAUAUAAUUAACAAUCACAAUAUCAUUGUACAAUCUUAAAUACUUAAAAUUUAAUAAACAAAUACAACUUAAAAAAAAAAUAGUUGCAAAAAAUUAUUCAACGAACUUAUAAGUAAUUCACAAUCAAAAUACAGCUACACAAUUUUAAACACUAAGCAAAAUUAAAAAAAGAAUAAUUUAAAUAUAAAAAUUUUAGUAAAAAAAUCGUAAAAAUAUAUCUGACAAAGUUUUAUACUAUUUGUAUAAAAUCAAACACGGCUUCUACACAAAUAAGUUACACUGUCCGAUGAAAGGACCAAAAAAAAGAUAUGAACGCACAUACCAAUUAUUUAUUAUCUCUCCCUAAAUUAGUCAUUAACUUUUAGAAUUAUUGAACUCAUUCGAACAACUAAAUUAACUCUUAACAUCGUUUUCCAACGUAUUCACCUUUCUAUUUAUAGUUUGUUCAUUAAAUUAUAUGCGGUGAAGCCACUUCAUUAACCAAUCCUACUCCGAAAGUUGUUUUAUGUUUUAAUCAUUUACAUGGAAUCAAUUUAAGUUGGUAGCUAGGCUACGGACUGAUCUUGAAUGCAAUUGUCAAUGGAAGCAUAUAUCAAGAACCAUAUGCACUAUUUGAUAUAAGAAAUGUAAUAAGAGGAAAUCAAUUUACGUAUUCACAAGAUAAAAAUAACUAUCGAAAUCACUUAUCUAACCAAAAAAAACUUUUUGUUUUCAAGACAAACUAGGUGAGAUAUGAAAAGUUUAACAAUCAAUUUCCCUUUCGACACUAUCAUAUAAUAUAAGAUCUACAUAAGUUUUGGACCUCUUUCCAUUUCUCAAUCAACACAAAGUUCUAAAUCUAUUUACACACAGAUUCAAAUGUUGAAAUCUCAUAAUCUCUACACAUAUACCAAAUCACCUAAAACAAAAAUAAUAAAUGGCAAUUUACUAAACAAAUUAAAAGAAAAAAAAAUGUAGGCAUGAUAGUCUUACUCUUGCUACAGCAAAACUUGACGGUAGUAGAUCCAUCGUAAGUAGCUUUGCGAGAGAAUUUUUUGAUGCCUACGUGACUGGAUAGACGAUGGAGUGUCUAAGUAGCAUUAGAAAACAAAAUUGAUAGAUUGUACAUGCAACCUUGAGAUAUUUGGUGAUAAAAUUAAGUUGGAGUGGUUCAGAAGUUUCAAAUAAUCAUACUUGCAUGUAAGAAUAUAAACUAAAUAAUUUCCACAUUCCCAUAUCAAAAUUUGAGUCACAGCUAAAUUGUUAAGUGUAAGGUAUGCAACUAUAAAAGUUAACAAAAUCAACCAUUGUACGAGAAAACAGAAAAACGUAUUUCAUUUUUUUUUUUUUUGUACAAUGGUUGUUCUCGUCGUACAAAUCUUUGGUUGGUCUGUUUCUUUCAAUCUGAUAGCGACUACUCCCUCCUUUCGUGUAACUUAACUUCUUUCUUACUAACUUUUUUCUAAUGCUACUCAGCUUACCAUGUAUGACUUAAAACUUAGAUAUGACAUUAUUGCAUGUGGUUUUCUAUGUUGUUGCUUAACUAGACACAUCGAUCUUAUAUAAAUAAUAAUUGUGAGAUAAAAGAAAUGAAUGAUUAACCAUAUGUCUCCAUUAAUUUAUAAAAAAGUUAAGAAAAUCUAUAACAUAAAAUAUGUGAAUCUAAACAAUCAAUCAUUUUUAGUACGAGAUAAGAAACGAAUCUCAGAAUUUAAUUUAAAAAAUAUUUUAAAUAAAUUGAACGCUAAUUUUCUUUUGUACAUCUUACUUUUACUAAAUACAGUGUGUAAUAUACUUAAACUUAACUUACAAUGUAGUACCAUAUUUUAAAAUAAAAUCAAUGUUUUGUAACAUUCACUUUUAUGUACCACUUUUUAAACAGGUCGCAAGAUACAAAUCUAAAACUCCUAAUUUUUAAUGGAUAUUUUAUUAUUAAAGUAUGUAAUAAUUAUAUAAAAUAUGAACCAAUCAAACAAGACAGUGUUAACAAGAGUUUUUAAGUAUCUUCCCUAAAAACUCAUGGAUAUGAACAACAUUAUUGGUAAUAUUUUAGCCAGAUCUUAGCUAAGAUUUGUGAAGAAAAAGAUCUUGGCAUCUUAACAUAGAUAAAGCAGAUUACGUACAAUGAACAUCCUUGGUGUUAGAUUUCACAAUGUAUAUGAGUCUCUCAAGGUCCAUGAAAAUUUCAUAAAUUCGGAGCAUGCAAGAAGCUGGCUUAUACCGCAAUAUUUGUCAAGGUCAUAGCCUAAUUAUCUUUGAGGACGCUAAAACAUUGCAGCCCAUCUAUUUAACUCACGAUUUCAACCUCUCAGCUCUUGAGCUUAUCUUUUUCGAUCACAAUCCCAUUUCUUAACUCAAUUAAGCAAUUGUUCAUCAUCAAUCAAUUUUUCUGUUCGAUCAUAAUCUCAAUUAUUCAGCUGUGAGACCUACUGUAGAUGUAACACAGAUUAAUGAGUAGAUACGAAAGAAGUGCCAUAUCACUUUUUCAAACCGAGAAGCUCUGUAUAACUAACUGGACAUGGUUAAACUUAUAAGUCUAUGUCAGUAAUUUUGAGCAAAUUACGUUGGCAGCUGACCACAACAGGUAGAGAAUUAUUAUAAACAAUAAUUCCUAGAUAGAACUUAAAAGACUUGCAAAUUGAAAACUCGUCCAAGUCUUUAUAAAAAAGCAAAAAACACACAAAAAGAUAGUCAUAAUCAGAUACUUGAUAAUAAUAAAUUUUCGAAUAAACAAACUCAGAGCCAGCCAAAAUCUAAGUUUAACAAACAAACUCUCCAACUGAUGCUCGAAAACAAGUUUAAGCUGAUGAAGCUGCUGCCUUGAUUCUUGGCUUCGCUUCGGUACCUAAUUCAAGAACCAAAAUGUACAACAUUUCAAUCGUAAAUAACAGUUUCUUAUUGUGAACUAAAAGAAAUGAUGGAAUAUAUAUAAAAAGGGUAAGCACCUUCUCUGAAACCAGUCUUGAACCUGCGAGGGACGUUGCGAAGGUACCUCAUCCUUCCAGUUCCAGUAGUCUUUCUACGGAUUGCCUUCACACUCCAGUUGUCUUACAACAUGAAUACACAUACAUUGAUCAGUACUAUCCACAAAAUGGCAGAUUACAAAAUUUGAAUAGAAGACAGUGCUAUGAAUGUAACUGAGAAGCUUAACAGGAGAGACCAAACAUAAGAGAGCAUAGAGCAGAUACUCAAUUCAAUCAGGAUUCAAUAAGACCAUAGAGCAGAUACUCGUCACAGAGUUAUGUAAAUUCUUACUAAAGAUUCAUAGUGCAUUCAAUUGGUAUUCAUUCUUAGAUAUGAAUAACCAAGCUCUCAAUGAGAAGCAUCACUCAACAUAUCAUACUUACAAAGGAAUGAUUUAAUCCCUAAACAAAACCUAAUCAUAAGAAUCCUAAUUCUGAUUCAGAAUCAAUGGAUUGAAAUGAAGAAUAAUCCAUUUCUUAAUCUAGGAAGCGAAUACGAUGCAAAAUGAGAGAUAGAGAGAGAAGAGAGUCGUACAUGUCCUCUUGCGAGCGGCGGGGUAAGCACAAGCAGAGCAACGACUCUUCUGGAUGUGGAAACUACGACGUCCACAUCUGACGCAGAGUGUAUGACUCUUGUUUCUCCUCUUUCCGAAACUUCCCGUUCCCUUUCCCUGAUAAUCUCAAUACAAAAACCUAAUCAGUGAUGAAGAGAUCGACGAUGCAAUAGAGAUGAAACAGAGAUAAAGAGAGAAUCGUAAAUCACCAUUGAAGCUAAAUGCGAGUUUCCAGAUGAUACAAAAAAACCUUGAGGUUCCGGCUUCAGAGACAGAAGUGACGACGGAAUGUCAACAAAAGUUUAUAUAAAGCUAGGGUUUUCUUCUUUUUAUUAGGGUUGUGUGACAAUUCUGUUACUGGAUCGCUUAGACCCAGGGCCAUGAGCCUUUAAACUUUAAUAAGCCUUUUUAUAUUUGGCCCAUUCCGAAUAUUAAAACCGGAAACGAAUUUUCUUCCCUACUAUUCCGAAAAAUUGUUGUUUCAGUCUUAAAUAGUUAAAUUUCAAUACUUGGCGAACAAUUUAUUCCAUAAAGGUGAUUUUGUUCUCCAAGUAUCAUAUAAAUACUUUUUUUGGUCCUCAAGCUAUCGUCGAGAGAAGGUUUGAGUAGGAGACGAUUGAUAGAGUCAUAAACAAACCUUCUUCUCUCAUCUCAAGGAAACAAAAGAGAUCAAGGUUUCAAUUACAGUUGUUCCUCGUCGUUCAUGGUACGUUUUCUCUCUUUGCCUCCAUUACUUUUUUACGAAAACAAUUUGUGUAAGAAAUUACACCAUGAAGGAAGAACAAUGGUCAAUUUCUAGAACUAUGCCAUGAAUGAUGAAGAACGUACAAUAUGAUAUUUUCAAGCUUGUUUCUGAUGGACCUUUUUAAAAAUAUUCCUUUGUUUAGGUGAUUGUCUCAUUAGUACAUUCAGUGGUUAAACUUGUGGCUGCGGUGGUUUAUCAACCAGUGGCUUCCGUCUCCAUGUUACUUUUUUUUAGUGGUCUUCUUCCUCGGAACCUUCAAUCAGAAAGACUAACCGGCCGUGAAUUCAUGAUUAGCUAGUCCAAUUUCUUGUAUCUCUUCUAAAAUGUUUAUGUUAGUUUUCUAUUUUUAUAAGAUUAAGGAAAUUACAUCAAUUAUGCUUUUUAAAAAAUUAUUUUGAAAAGAAAAACAUUUUAAUCGCACAGGACCAAGAAAGUAAAAGAAAAUUCACUUUGAAAACAAUCGGAAAAUCAGGAAACUUACUCUAAAUUUCCAAAAAAAAUUCGAGAUAAUUAACAAAUAUAAAAAUAAAUUGAAAAAAGUCCAAAUAUAAACUAUUUACUCCAAAUUAUAAAUCCAUUAGUUACUGAAAUAGAUUUUAGAAAUUGUGAAUUAUAUUAUUUCAACCAAUUUUUAUUAAAAUAUUGUUUAUUCGUAGAAAAAAAUUACAAACGAAAUUUCAGAGUUUAACACUUUAGUUUAGCGCGCGCUAAACAAUCUGCCUUCAAAUUACCAGAAUCUGAAAUUUGAGAGAGAAAUAAAUUGUGAAUUUAUAAACAAGAGAAUCUGAACACUGAGGUUAUGUUUGUAAUAAUCCAUAAUGAUCAUGUAGGGUGAGAAGUUGUAAAAUCAAGUAAUAUAAGGGUCGGAAACUAAUAGGGAAGAAACAAGAAAAUAAGAUUUCAUUUUCCGAACUACCCACUGACUUGUCCGAAGUCCAUCUCCUGUCUCCUCCAUUAACUCGCCAUUAAAACCCUUUUUCUUUCUCUCUCUGUCGGGACUCUGCAAUUCUACAGUUACAUAAAAAAAAAACCUUAUGACCAACGAAAGACCCAUUUUUUCAUUACUCUUCACACAAUCAUAAAGUCUGCUUUUUUUCUUCCCGAUGGUAUGACUUAAACGGUAGUUUCCAGUUUCCCGAUUAAGCUUCUCUUUCCGAUGAUGGUUUACAGGUUUCCGAUUUGGCAAAAAUUGAGGCUAAUUUGGUUUGAUUUUUUUAGGGUUUUGUGAAGCUGUAGCUAUGGAGCUGAAGUUUGUCUUUUGCCGGAAACAAUCACUCUUCUUGAUUUCUUGUUUGGCUCUGCUUUAUCUCGCGUCCUUGGACACUGUAAGUGAUUCAAGAACUAGGGUUUCUGAACUUGCUCGAAUCUUUUCACAGAUUUUGAAGUGGUAAUUUAUGUUCGUUAGUUGAUUGAUCGAUAAAAGGUGAAAUUUUUGAAAUGAUUUUUUGCAGAUAUCAAGUGAAUCAACUCAGAAUGCAACUGAUGUCAAGCAAAGAUCUCGCAAAGGUACAAAGUUGUGAUUUUGUGCUCUGAUGUGAAUAUCAUUGCUGAGAACAAGAGUCUCAUGUAUUUACUGUUAGUGAUUCUCUAUGUACAGCGUCUUGUCCUCCUGAUUGGAUCAUUGGAUCGAACCAAACGAAAUGCUAUGCUUACUUUAAAAACUCCACUUCAUGGGAGAAGUCAGAGAUGUUCUGUAGAACCUAUGGUGGUCAUUUAGCAUCCUCUGCAUCGAGUAAAGAACUCAGCUUUGUUCAAAAACUAUGCAAUGUGAACUCUAGUGGGUGUUGGAUUGGAGGAAGAAGUCUGAAUUCUUCUUCUACCUCUGGUUUCCACUGGAGCUGGUCUGAUCCCAAGACGCCUCAAUGGAACCAAUCCAUGUUUCCCAAAGUGCCAAUUCGCACCCGCUGUGGCAAUGGCAAUGGCAGUGCAUUUUGUCGUGCUAAUAUAUGUAUAGCCGUGACAAACGGCUCAUCGCCAGUCUUUGGUGAAAGAUGUAAUGCCUCUCGUGCUUUCAUUUGCGCGGUUGAUUCUGGUAAUGGCCUCUCUCUUUCUUCUAUAUUUUUGCAUUUGUACUACUUAGUCCAUUAUAAUUGUUAAUUAGGGAACAUUGUUAGGAGUAAGUGAACAUUGUCUACAGAGAGAUCUUGAUCUGCCUAGUUUCUCUUCUUUGCAGAUUUCAAAUGUCGCAAUUGUCACAAAUAUGUAGUUAUCCUAGCUGUUGUCAGUGGUUUGAUUCUCUUUACCACAUUCGCCAUCAUAUUAUGGCUCCUUGUCUACAAACGAAGCAAGAAACGCCGUAAAUCCCGGAAAGUAUCAAAUCCAGCUUCUUCCUCUUCAGCUUUAGUUCCUCCCUCAUGGAAGAUCUUCACCAGCGAAGAACUGAGAUCAAUGACAAAGAACUUCAGUGAAGCAAACCGUCUGGCCGGGGAUGCGAAAACAGGUGGAACUUAUACCGGUGGUUUAUCAGACGGGACUAAAGUGGCGGUUAAGAGACUGAAAAGGUCUAGUUUUCAGAGGAAGAAAGAGUUUUACUCUGAGAUUAGAAGAGCAGCCAAACUUCAUCACCCGAAUGUAGUAGCCAUCAAAGGUUGUUGCUAUGAUCAUGGAGAACGUUUCAUUGUUUAUGAGUUCAUAGCUAGUGGACCGCUUGAUAGAUGGCUGCACCAUGUGCCUAGAGGUGGUAGGAGCUUAGACUGGAGCAUGAGGCUGAACAUUGCCACAACUCUUGCCCAUGGAAUCGCGUAAGUCGAAUCUUAUAACAUUAGCUUCUGUUUUGAGAAAUUAUGACAAGAUUUAAGCUUAACUUCUAGUCUUUACGUUGGAAAAAACAGGUUUUUACAUGACAAGGUCAAACCACAAGUGGUGCACCGUGACAUACGUGCAAGCAAUGUACUGCUGGACGAGGAGUUUGGAGCUCAUUUAAUGGGCGUUGGUCUCUCAAAGUUUGUUCCUUGGGAAGUAAUGCAAGAGAGAACCGUAAUGGCGGGUGGAACCUACGGUUACCUCGCACCCGAAUACGUAUACAGAAACGAGCUCACGACGAAGAGCGAUGUCUACAGCUUCGGAGUCCUUUUGCUUGAGAUUGUGAGCGGUCGUAGACCAACUCAAGCGGUUAACUCUUCAGUUGGGUGGCAGAGCAUAUUCGAAUGGGCUACACCGUUGGUUCAGGCUAACAUGUGGUUAGAGAUUCUUGAUCCGGUUAUCACGUCUGGUUUACCGGAAGCAAGUGUGGUUCAGAAAGUUGUGGACUUGGUUUAUUCAUGUACUCAGAAUGUGCCAUCGAUGCGUCCAAGGAUGUCACAUAUUGUCCAUCAGCUUCAGCAAUUGGUCCAACCAUUAGAUGUAAAAUAACUUAUAGCUUAAGUCCCAAUAAUAAGAAACCUUUUUGUUUGACUGUAGAAUCGAAUCUUAGGAGACAUUUCAUUGUCCAAUUACUACAAUUUCAUGGAAAAGGUUAAGAAACGUUGUCGUAUUAGAGAAGGUUCUUGGAAGUUUAUAGGAUUACAGCUAAAGGUCCUUGUUAACUAAGUAGUUCUGUAUAACAAAACUAAAGCUUGUUCCCUAAGUCGCAAAUAUAUAAUUUAUAUAAUAAAACUAAAGUUUCAUUGAAUAUACAAAGACCAUAUCUAUCCAAAACAUUUCAAAGAUAAAGUCUUCGUUUGUGUAUAUAUAUCUCUUCUACUCUUAUCUUUUAACAAGAAACUUAUUGGUUCUUUACUUUGCUUCAUAGCUUUUGCAAUAUUCUGAUUCUGAGUAUUACUUCAACAUUAUUCACUAAACCAACGUUUAGAUUCUUCUGUAUUCUUUUCAUAUAAAGGUUUGGUCCUUUUGUUUACCAUCUUCUUGCCUCUAGAAAUCCAAAACAAGAUGUUUCUUCUUAGGUGCUUUAAACCCAAGUUCUACAAGAAAAGGUGUUUAAGUCUUUUGCCACUCUGUUUUGUACUUUAAAAGUUUUGAAUCUUUCUGAACAAUUUUAUAACUAAUCCUUGUUCUUGGUGAAUUGCAGCAAAUCUACAACCAGCUACAUGAAGAUUCGGCUUGAUAUAGUGAGGAAGAAAAGGAUUGCAAUGGUUAGAAAUUAUAAGACAGAUAUUGUGAACUUCCUCAAUAAUGGCCAAGAUUAUGAAGCUUACAGAAGAGUAAUUAAGACUUAUACUCUCUCAUUAUAUAAUACUAAGCUUUCUUUCUUACAUUAAGGUUUUGCUAAUCUCUUUCUUGUUACUGCAGGCAGAUCUAUUACUCGAAGAGCUUAGAAUAAUAUCGUGCUACGAUCUCAUCGAGCGAUUCUGCGAUUGUAUUUCUGAAAAUCUCCCCCUGAUGCUGAAGAAAAGGUAUACAUCUUUGUUAUUAAUCUCUAAGUUUCAGUCCAAAAGUUCUCAAAAAUUACUAACUUGUUGUAUUUUUUAUUCUGUUUCCUUCACUUUUAGGGAAUGUCCUGAAGAAUGCAGAGAAGCUGUUUCCUCUUUGAUAUAUGCAACUGCAUGGGUUCCCGAUGUUCCUGAACUGAAGGAUCUUAGAGCCGUGUUUACUAAAAGAUUUGGAAAUUUUGUUGCUUCAUCUGUAAAUCAUGAGGUUGGUUGAUUAUUAUUAAAAACACUACACAUUGUCUCAUUUCUUGUACUGACAGUAUGUCUUUUUGAAAUCUUGCAGCUCGUUGAGAGAACUGGAUCGCGAAAACUACCUUCACGAGAACUCAAGAUUCUUACAGUGAAAGAUAUUGCGAAUGAGUUUUCGAUUAACUGGGAUCCUACAGCUCUGAAACUGAUGCUACUCAGAGAGACUUCAGCUCUGCAGGUAAAUUAUGUGUUGUAGAACUUUGACUAAAGAAAAAACAUCGAUUUCUUUGUAGGUUUUGGUUGGUCUAAUGUCUGAAAAGUGUUUAGAUUGAGGGGAAUAUGGAGACAGGAGCUGAUGAUCAGAAGCUUGAGACAGAGAAAAGUAUGAUAGAUGAUCAAAGCGAGGACGAAUCGGUUCUUUCAGAGAGUACUUGGCGAGGAGAAUUAUUGUCCAAAGGCAGUUUUAGUUCUAGCUCAAGCUCGAGUUCGAGUUCUCUAAGAAGAGAAUCUGUGCGGAAGAAGACGAGGAAGAAGAUUUUACCUUACGGUAUAAUAUCUCCUUCAUACAAUGAUGAGAAAGCACAAGAAGAGGAGAAAGAAGAGAAUAGAAAGAGUAUGGAUCAAGAAAACUCGAGGUCGCUUGGUAUACAAGGCAGUAAGAGUCUCACAAGCACAAGCAAUAAGGAAGUUUCCACAACAAGAGAGAACAAGAGAACGUCGUCGUUUGAAAGACCAAAGCUCUUGGAUUAUGAUGAUGUGGUGAGUCGUCUUGCAGCUCUGCGCCGGAGAUAAGAAAGUGUCAAAGUAGUCAUUAUGUAAUUAAGGGUUUCUUAAUUCUCUUCGUAGUUAAAAUUCAUUAGUAUAUUCGUAAUUCAAUAUGUAAUUAUCCUUAUGACUUUGUAAUUAGUCCACUAGUUGAUUAAUCUUUUAACAACGGAUCGGAUGAAACUUUUUAUAUUCAUAUACACUUGUUAAAAUAUAAUCAAAGCUAAGGACAGAACGUUCUGAACGUGUUAUCAAAGGUUUGAAGGAAACAACCGGUGGGCAAAUCUUGUUGUAUCUCAGGAUUGGUCGUCUUGGCCUUUGUCAAAUCAUCAGUGAGAAAGCAUAUAAUUGUUUUAAUUUGAUCUUACUAUCAGUGGAUCCAUAACAAGUGCAAAUAGUGUAUAGUGAGAAAUCCAUUAGCUUAUGUCAUUAGAAUUUUAGAAAGUAGAGAUUCUUAUAGAAUUGUGUUUAGAACAUCAAAAGAUUUAUGUUGUCACCCGUAACUCAGUAACCGAGUUAUAAAACACAACUUUAUAUGAAUCUCUAUUUGCUAAAACCCUGAUAACAUAGGUUAAUGGAUUUUACUCAUAUAUUGGACACUGACUCUAUUAUGGAAUUCUUAUGAACCGACUAAUUUUACCAUAAAAUAAAGAAUGAUUUCGGAUGAAUGGAAAAUGCAAAUUAAACCUUGAUUUCUGCAUAUGGUUUAUUGAAAAAGUUGGAAAAAAAUACAUUAUAUCUUUUGAAGACUUGAUCGAGGUUGUAUCCAAAAAUUUAGGAAACUAUAAAGAGUUGUUAUAUAAUGAGAAUCUUGUUGAAUUAGAUGAAGAGAAUAUUUAUCAAUAUAUAAUGAUUCUUAAUGGUUGUUUCACUCUUAUGAAAGUUAAGAGUAUCCCCGAAUAAUCGAAUCAUUUUUUUCUAGGUAUAGGUAAAAACGUACGUACCUUAAUCCUCAGAACUGGUCCUUUGCUAUUAGGGCAUAAUACAUGAUGAAGCUUGUGGUUUAAGCGUCACCCAUUUAAAGGUUUACAACAGUACUCUAGACAUGGAUUACGGUUCAAGCUUGUGUUUAUUUUUUCAGUUAAAUUUUUAUAUUUUAUAAUCUUUUGUUCCAAGCCGACAUACAAUUUUCUUUUCAAAAUAGUUGUGUGUAUGAUUGUAUCGAAUCGUAGUUUACGUCCUCCAAAUAUUCAAGUAUUUUUAUUUAUUAUCAUUUAUUUUGUCGGCUAAUAAUUUUGUAUUAAAUUAUGUUUUAACAAAAUUUUGUAUAAUCAAAAGAUUAGCCCAGAUAAAAAUAUACGACCAUCGUACAUAUUCAUAACUUCAUCUAUGUUUUUUGGAGACAAAAAAAAAAGAACAUCUUUAUAUAGUGAAAUUGAAUAGUAGACGACGAAGAAUUACAAAUACAAAAAGUUCAAAAAAAAAGAAAAGAAAAACGAUAUAUUCGCUUGUUAACUUUAUAACUUUAUCCACGUCAUUACCCCCUGAGAGUAGCCCAACGAAAAAUGGAAAAUUUAACCAAAAAUAUAGAAAAAGCCUUUUCUAACAACUGCAACGACGUCGUAUCAUCUUCUCUCUAUUAUUAUUCUUCUUCUUCCUUAAAAACUUAACUCCAAAGCUUUUUGAGUUUCCAUCUCUGUCUCUCUCCGAUCGAUCUGAAGUAGUAAGUAGCAGAGAGAGCUUUCGAGAGGAAGAAGAUGGGUUGUGCCCAAUCUAAGAUCGAGAACGAAGAAGCUGUUACUCGUUGCAAAGACCGCAAAAAGUUGAUGAAAGAUGCCGUCACUGCUCGUAACGCUUUCGCCGCCGCUCACUCUGCUUACGCCAUGGCUCUUAAAAACACCGGAGCUGCUCUCUCCGAUUACUCCCACGGCGAAUUUUUAGUCUCUUCCGCCUCCGCCGCUGCUGCUAUCGCUUCUACCUCUUCUCUUCCCACCGCUAUUUCUCCUCCUCCUCCUACUUCCGCCGCCGCUGUUUCUAAUUCCGCCGCUUCUUCUUCUUCUUCCUCCGCCGCGAUUCCUCAGUCGAUUCCUGAUACUCUUCCUCCUCCUCCUCCGCCUCCGCCUCUUCCUCUUCAGCGUGCUGCUACUAUGCCGGAGAUGAACGGUAGAUCCGUUGGCGGUCCUUCUGGUAGUGGUCUCAACGGUAUUGAAGAAGACGGAGCCCUAGAUCACGAUGAUGAUGAUGAUGAUGAUGAAGAAUCCGAAGUGGAGAAUCGUGACCGUUUGAUUAGGAAAUCGAGAAGCCGUGGAGGUAGUAAUAGAGGAGGUAGGCCGAUGAUUGAUGAUCAUCAUCAUCACCUAGAGGAGAAGGCGCCGCCGCCUCUUCCGGCCACUAAUUCACGGCCAACUCCGCCGCCACGUCUGCAUCAGCAUCAACAACAGCAGCAACAACCUUUCUACGAUUACUUCUUCCCUAAUGUUGAGCAUAUGCCUGGAACCACGUUAGAAGACACUCCUCCGCAACCACCACAACCAGAGGUUUCAAAACCUCUGCCUCCCCAACCGCGGUCACCUGUUACAGAGGAAGAUGAUGAUGAUGAUGAUGACGAUGAUGAUGAUGAAGAAGAAGAAGAAGAGGAGGCGGUAGAGACUGUACCUGAAAGGAAAGCUCCCGUGGAGGAAAGACCGAAGAGAGUUGAGGAAGUGAGUGUUGAAUUGGAAAAAGUUACUAAUUUGAGAGGGAUGAAGAAGAGUAAAGGUAUGGCGAUGGCUGGAGAGAGGAGAGGAGUGAGAAUGCCGGGGACGACGAAUUUGGGGAAUGUAUUCACUGAGCUUGAUGAUAACUUCUUGAAAGCUUCUGAAAGUGCUCAUGAGGUUUCUAAGAUGCUUGAAGCAACUAGGCUCCAUUACCAUUCUAACUUUGCAGAUAACCGAGGUAAUAAUCUCUACAAUUUGCUGGAGAAACAAAAGAUUACUUUUUUUAUUGGUUUGGUUGCUUUAAGAUUAUGUGUUGUUGUGACAGGACAUAUUGAUCACUCUGCUAGAGUGAUGCGUGUAAUUACGUGGAAUAGAUCGUUUAGAGGAAUACCAAAUGCUGAUGAUGGGAAAGAUGAUGUCGAUUUGGAAGAGAAUGAAACUCAUGCUACUGUUCUUGACAAAUUGCUAGCAUGGGAAAAGAAGCUCUAUGAAGAAGUCAAGGUAACAAUUUCAAAACUUGUCUCUUUUAAUGCUUGUGCUUGAUGAAAGAUUCUUGCAGCCAUGUUUAGUCUUCUGAUAAAAGUCGAUGUUUGUGAACGUGGUAUUUGUCUCUUUGAUUGUUUCGUGGUUAUGCAUUAGCGAACCUGACGUGUGUUUCUAUUGGAAGUCUGAUUUUGGGAUAAAUUUUUGCUGGAUUUAGGCCGGUGAACUCAUGAAAAUCGAGUACCAGAAAAAAGUUGCUCAUUUAAAUCGGGUGAAGAAACGAGGUGGUCACUCAGAUUCAUUAGAGAGAGCCAAAGCAGCGGUUAGUCAUUUGCAUACAAGAUACAUAGUUGAUAUGCAGUCCAUGGACUCCACAGUUUCAGAGAUCAAUCGUCUUCGGGAUGAACAACUAUACCUAAAGCUCCUUCACCUUGUCGAGGCGUAAGUUUCACUUCUUGGUAGAUUUUGUUUUUGAUGAUGUUUUAGACGAGAAGAAGUUGAGUUUUUUUCGAUUUUCUUUUUUUUUGCAGGAUGGGGAAGAUGUGGGAGAUGAUGCAAAUGCAUCAUCAAAGACAAGCAGAGAUCUCAAAGGUUUUGAGAUCUCUAGACAUUUCGCAAGCGGUGAAAGAAACAAAUGAUCAUCAUCACGAACGUACUAUCCAGCUCUUGGCAGUGGUUCAAGAAUGGCACACACAGUUUUGCAGGAUGAUAGAUCAUCAGAAAGAAUACAUAAAGGCACUUCUGGGAUGGUUAAAGCUAAAUCUCAUACCUAUCGAAAGUACACUCAAGGAGAAAGUAUCUUCGCCUCCUCGAGUUCCCAAUCCCGCAAUCCAUAAACUCCUCACCAUUUGGUAUGAUCGUUUAGACAAAAUCCCUGAUGAAAUGGCAAGAACUGCCAUAAUCAAUUUUGCAGCGGUUAUAAGCACGAUAAUGCAGCAGCAAGAAGAUGAGAUAAGUCUCAGAAACAAAUGCGAAGAGACAAGAAAAGAACUGGGAAGAAAAAUUAGACAAUUUGAGGAGUGGUACUAUAAAUACAUGCAAAAAAGAGGACCGGAGGGGAUGAAUCCGGAUGGGUCAGAAGCGGAUAACGAUCAUAAAGACGAGGUAGUUGUGAGGCAAUUCAAUGUAGAACAAAUUAAGAAGAGGUUGGAAGAAGAAGAAGAAGCUUACCACAGACAAAGCCAACAAGUUAGAGAAAAGUCAUUAGCCAGCCUUCGAACUCGCCUUCCCGAGCUUUUUCAGGCGAUGUCUGAGGUUGCAUAUUCAUGUUCGGAUAUGUAUAGAUCUGUUACGUAUAUGACUCAGCGGCAAAGCCAAAGCGAACGGCAUCAGAAACCUAGCCAGGGACAGGGUUCGUAAGAACUCAUGUAAAGAUCAGGGACUCACAGACGAGUAAUGUCUUCUUUUUCUAUGAUCUUGUAUUUUUUAAGCAUACACAAAUACGACGUAUAGUUAAUUUUUUAUCAUUGCUUUCUUGUAGAAAGGUUUGUUACAAUUAAGAUUCAUAUAGUGUUUGAUUUAUAAGGAAUUGUUCUGUUGAGUUAUAAGAACGUUGUGUAUUGAGCAUUUGUAAUUUUGUAUAGUGAUGAAUCAUUGGAAUUUAUCAACCCAUAUAUAUUAUACGUACAAACCAAGGGUUUUGUGAUUUAAAACUCUGUGAAACUUUACUGUGAUAGUGUGACCAAAUAAAAAAGCUGGCAAGUUUAUGUGUUUCUUCCUCUAAGUUGAACCAAGAAGGUAAUGUAUGCCAAAGAGAAGAAAUAGCUUUAAAGUUCAUCAAACCAAAAUAUUGUCUUUGAAAAUUCUGAAACUUUGCUAGUUCCUCAAGCUAAAUAAAGACUAACAACUCGAGAGAGCUUCACAUAAAUGCCAUCGAUUAAACUCUUUUUCUUCUGUGCUUUGUCUCAAUCUCAUCUCUUAACUCCCUUGAAUCAAUUUCCUUGCGUUUGGCGAUGAGCUGUCUGAGUUUUCCAGUGAUGCCCCCAAGUCCGAUUUGGGUGAAGAACUUGAUGGAAAACAGUGUGUUUUUCAGAUGGUCUUUUGGGAAGAUGGACUCGAAUGUCUCCUCCAUGGUUGGAUCAUGAAGCUUUUCAUUCAAAACCUUAAUUCCUAAUUGCUCAGAGAGUUGUAGGAAAAGGUUUUUGAGAAAGAUACGUGAUGAAGGAGUUGUGUCUUCCUCUGUUAACUGAACAUAUCCAAGAACAUGCCAAGGAAGAGCGUCAGUGGCCAGGAGAUGCCCAAAGAAGGUGGCUACACUCAUUAACUUGUUGGUGUCGAACCGGUGCACCAUAGAAUAUUGCUGAACAAACAGAUUCUGGAAACAUUCUCUGUAAACUUUGCUUCUGAGGCAGAACCGGUGUGCUAAGUGACCAUAGAAGGAUCGAUAUGUUUUCUCCUCAGUGCAACAUUCUAGCACCAUAACACAUAGCUCCAUCUCUUGACCUGGUUCUAGUCUGAUCUUGAGCAGCUUAUGCCCUGCUUCUUCGAAAUCAAGACUUACAUUAUAGUUUGAUAAAUUGUCCUCCUGAGAUUGACAAGAUCAGUCUCUGUAUCAUCUUGUAUUGCUCUAUCUUCUGCUUCAUUAUCCUCAUCAUCUUCUUCUUCUAGGCCUUUAUCUUGCUCCCCAAAUAUCUCCUUCUUCAGAAGCUCGUACUUGUUCUCAUUUUGCUGGAACGCAGAGUCGGUUUUGAAGACAUCAAGUGAACUCUCUGGAUCGAUAACAUCGAGGAAAGAGAUGUCAUGUGUCACUUGCUCUUCUGAAUCCACAAGCAGAUCAAGUUCAGGACGAAUUGCUGGAUGACCUUUAAAACUGAUUCUCCUAAGAGCAACCAAAGACUCAAUCAAACAACGUGACCUAUACUCCAAGUCACCUUCAUGAAGAAUCCUACGAAAGCUGUCGAAAAUUAGGUUAAGAGCUCUACGAGACGCUUCUUGAAGCAUAGCUCCACACUCUGUAACAAGUACAACAGCAACCUCGACACUAUCUCCCGUAGGCUCAACGAGAAGCUUUACGACAAGCUCAAGAGCAACAGUCUCGUGAACCACACGCUGGUUCACCAAAUGCGCGAGGAACCUCACGACAGCUAACAAACGAGGCUUGUCGUUACGGUCAUUAUAAGUCUUUCGGAAUUGCAAAACCAAUCUUCUCAACAACAAGUCUCCGACCAAAGGGAUCCUCGAAUUGACGACAGAGAUCAAAGCCGCGAUGACGUCGGAGAAUAGAGGAGAAGCGAUCUGAGAUUUGAUACAUGAUCUGCAUAAAAGACCUCUGCCUCUGAUGAGAUUCUCUUCCAACAAUUCUAAAACAACGUGACGGAGAUUGUUUGUGUUUACCUUAUUGACUAAUCCAUUGAUUCGUCUACGAAGCUCGUCCCAUGAUUCACGCUCUACAUCACGAGUCUCCUCUUUCCUCUUCAAAGCAGGUACGAUGUAGCGUCCUUCCAUGUCUCAGCAGAGAAAGCAAAUAAUUUUAAUUAGGGUUUUUAUGAUUGUUGAUAACUUGAUAUAUACACCACGUACAACGCUCUUUACCCUUUUUUUUGUUUUUAAUAUUUUCCUUUUUUAAAAAAAGAAAAUAAAACAUUCGGUUCACAUCAAAUUUAGUUCACCAACACUACAGGAAAUUGAUUAGAGCGAUAAAUGAGAAGAAUGUACGAAAACAUGUUUACACAAUAGAACCCUCUAAAUGAGAAGAAGGUUUUCACUUAGGGCCACUACAACAACCAGAGCAACAACUCUUGUUACUUGUUUCCUCACUCUUUUGCAGCAAGCCAACUUCUAGAUCCUCUGCUUCAUCCUCCACCAGUGAAGGAGGAGGAGAAGAAGGGGAAGCACGGUAACAUGCAGACACGGCUUCACGCUCAUCACGUAGAAGCAUCAUACUAUUGAGUAUCACAAGCAAACAAGUUCCUGCAUCUGCGAGAACAGCUGCCCAAACCAGAGGGUAACCUGCAAAACCAAGCACCAUAAUUGCUCCUUUUAUGCUCACAGACAAAACUACAUUCUCAAUCACUUUCUUAUGACUUCUUUUCGCUAGUCUCAUCCCUUUUGGGAUCUUCCUUAUAUCGUUUGACAUAAGAAUGAUGUCUCCUGUCUCUGUUGCAAGUGCUGACCCAGAGAUUCCCAUUGAAAUGCCAAUGUCUGCUUUAGCUAAAGCCGGUGCAUCGUUAAGCCCGUCUCCCACCAUCAUUGUAGCCCCUUGGCUCUUGAACUCAUCGAUGAUUCUCGCUUUGUCUUGUGGAAGAAGUUCAGAGUGAACAAUAUCCAAAGCAUUCCCUAACUGUCAAAAUAUAACUCACUGAUUAUAUGACUCACAAAGAUAAGGAGAGAGGGAAAAAUAGUUAGAUAAUGACCUGUUCUUGAGUAGUCAUGGCUGCGUCUUGGUUAUCUCCUGUGAGCAUUGCAGUUUUGAUUCCUAAGAUUUUUAGUUCCUUGAGAGCUUGAGCAACCCCAUAUCUACAGCCGUCCAAAAGACAGAAACUUCCGGCCAGUUUUGCUCCAAUGUAUAUGUAACCAAUGGUUUUACCCCGCUUCAUAUCAGCUUCAAUAUCCGGAACUUUAUGUAACAAUACAUCCACAAAUAAGAGAUGUUGCAAAUGUUAGAUACAUGAAGAACAAGAACAAUACUAGAGACUUCCCAAAGCAAUGAAUGUAACUUUCAAUUGAGACCUGUUAAGCAUCCAGCUCUCUGUGCAAUUGUUUUGUUUCCAAUGUAGAUAUCUUGACCAUCUAUUCUCCCAUAGACUCCUUCUCCUGGAAAGUUUUCAAAGUUCUCGACUACAUCAGGCUUAGGCUCAACAGAGCUUGAUCUUGCAUGGUCAAUAAGUGCUGCUGCCAUCGGAUGAUUUGACUUGCUCUCGAUGCUCGAGACCCUAUGAUGAAAACAUCUCAAAAGUGUCUAACCAUCCAUAUAUAUAAUCUCAUACACCCUAUAAUGGUAAAUUUUGAUAAAGUCAACUAAAAACAUACUUACAAGUAAAGCAAAGUGUGCAGAUUGAUAUUGUGAGAAAGAGACCUAAAAUCUGAGACCGUGAACUCAGCUUUUGUAAUAGUUCCUGUUUUGUCAAAAGCAAUAAUCUCGAUCUUUGCCAGGGUCUCUAGACAAUCACCAGUUUUGAUCAGAAAACCGGACGUGGCUGCCUUAGUAAGAGCACAAAAUGUAGCGACAGGUGUGGAUAAGAUAAGACCACAUGGACAACCGCUUACUAACACUACGAGUGCUAAGUGAAACCAAUGGCUGAGGUUGGGAACCUUUAACAAAGCCGGGAUUACAGCGAAACAUGCUGCUAAUAUAACAACAGCUGAAAAAACAAC
rnacentral:lncRNA from 1 species